rnacentral:lncRNA from 1 species
AUCGAGUUCAUCCUGUUCCACUACGUGGAGAUCCGGCGGUGGCAGGACAUCAAGAACCCCGGCAGCGUCAACCAGGACCCCAUCUUCAAGAGCUACAGCCUGCCGCCGCACGAGUGCGGCUACCCCGGCAGCGUCUUCAACCCGCUCAACUUCGCGCCCACGCUCGAGGCCAAGGAGAAGGAGCUCGCCAACGGUGAGCACCACUACCAUCGAUACCUCCGCACGGUCGCCGGCCACUUCCGAUGAUCCUUCCCUCUGACGACGACUAAUCAUAUGCAUCCGGUUAUUAAUUGUUAAUUCUGCGUGCAGGGAGGCUGGCGAUGCUGGCGUUCCUGGGCUUCCUGAUCCAGCACAACGUCACCGGCAAGGGGCCCUUCGACAACCUGCUGCAGCACCUGUCUGACCCAUGGCACAACACCAUCAUCCAGACCCUCUCUUAGUCGAUGAUAUAUAUCCAGGUCAUGUAAAAUGUGAUCCAUCGCUAGCGAGCUGAUGGGGACUGGAAGGCAAACAUUGAAGCGCGGUCGUCGAUGUUAAUUCCUUUCUGGAUCAGUUUGUGUGAUGUGUGUUGUUAAUCGAUCUGGAGGGUAUAGAUUCGGACCGGGUUUGUUGUAACUUGUAAUGCAUGGUAUGAAGAGAGAGAGGGCUGAGGAGUGACACUGCUGGUAUGUACAUUAAUCCAAGGGGAGGGCUAAGGGUAAGAUUGUUUGAUCAGUAUCCUCAUCGAUCUAUCCCGAUGGGGUUCCUCUUGUGCUUACUUCUUGCUUGCCACUUGCCAGUCCAUGGUUCAGUGUGGAAACACAUGCAUGUAUUUGUACGAGAACUAGUAGGCUUGUAUAAUUAAGCAAAUGGUAAACAUCGAUGCCCAUCGCGAUUAAUGUUCGUGAAAAAACAAAAAAAACUAAAAACUUGCGGUUAAUGUUUGCGAAAAAAACAAAAAAAACUAAAAACUUGCAACUCUAAAAAGUUGGACCUAGGACCUCUCACUUAACAGUAUCAUCCCUCUACCACUACACCACACAAUUAUUUGUGUAUAUAUAUAAUACACUAUUUUUUUUAUAUUAAUGUUUCGUAACCUUACAUUGGAUAUUUUGGCUACUAAAUAAACUCAAAUGAAAAAAAUUUUAACUAUAAAGUUUUAAAUCUUGUCGAGUACUACAACUUUGGUAUAUGAUGUAUCACCAUCAGAGAUAGUUUAAAAAAAAAUCAAAAAAUUGAGCCUUAAAACAUGUGAAUUUCAAACACAUAUUUGAGACUCUAGGUGAUUUUUAAAUAAAAAAUUUGUCAAUAUCAAACAUAUAGAUCAUGUGGACCACUAGAGCUUUGGUAUUAACUAUGUAAAUAUUGAAGAUCAUUUAGGAAUUCAAAAACUUAAAUUUUAAAAUCUAUAACGACCUUCGAACACAUGUUUGAGACUCUAAACAUAUUUUAAUUUAAAACUUUUCAACUACAAAGUUGUAGAUUCUAUCAAGAACUAUAACUUUUGUAAAGACCAUAUCAACAUCUUAGAUUGUUUGAUAAUUUUAAAUUUCAAAAUCUACACAUUUAAAAUAAUAUUUUUUGGACCCUAAAUAGUUUCAACUCAAACUAUUUUACGAGGCUAGGAUCCAUCGGCUCGUGAGAUGUUGCUCCGACCUCCGAGUAGCAACGACUGAAGAGCCGUCGCCGCCGCCCCUGCUUGCCGCUGCGCGCCCCCGCCCCCGUCCGGUCUCGCCCCCCCACGCCGAUCUGCUACUCCCAAGCCGGUGGCCGGAGUUCGCGCGGCCCUCGGCCUCACCCGGAUUCGGCGUCCGAGCCCUUCUUUACAUUCACCGCUUCGUGCCUCGUUCGCUGCCGCGACUCCUCGACUUCAACGCCCUCGCGAGUCGCGAAGCCGCGACGGCGCUGCAGGCGCCCGGUGAAUCUCCGACUUGACUCCGACGAGACCACGACGGCGACCUUCCCUUGUCUCCCCACUGGCUGCGGCCCCUCGCCCCCUCCUGCGGUGACUGUUGGCCGCCUGGCUGCCCAACCAGGUGAGAAGCGAGAUCCAAAUCUCCAUUCUUAUUUCUCCAUAGUCUAUACUCUCAGCAACAUUUGACAAUUCUUAACUCUUAAUUCAUAUCCAAUGUGUCUUAGGAUGGAAAGAUAUUAUGGUAAGAAAUAUGUUAUAUCCACUAGUUGAAUGCCCGUACGUUGCUACGGAAACAAAAAAAAAAUAUUUAGAAACAAAAUCAUGCCCAUGCCCACUCAUCUUAGUUUCAGCUUGGACAUAUGCACUUCCCUAUUGUCAAAUAGCUUGGAAAGUAAACUUUUGCUUACAUUCAACUGCCCUGAAUUAAUUUGCUUAGGAAAUCCGAAGUUUAGGUGCCACUAUUGCCUUUUCCAAUGUUUGUUUACCCAACAACAUUUGCAGGUAAGCAAAAUAUAGAAAUAUAAGUGUUUUGUGGCUUCACAUGUUUCACAUUACACAACCAAGACACCAGUGGAAAUAAACUUCACGGGUGCAGGGGGCUUUAAAAAAAUGUUAUCUGAACACACAUUGAAAUUAUAGAAAUGUAUUGCACAUAUGACACAGAUAUUGCGAAUGGCAAAGGCAAAUGCUUCCAUAUGCUUGUACCAUGGUCUCCCGGUGAGUCCUCGGUUGGUGAAUGUUAGUUCGGCUAUCAUCAACCUGUUGUUGAUCUCCCUUCCUUUCACUGUGUACUACCUUGUCUUUAGGCUCCAGUUUUUGCUUGCAGCAACUACAUACGAGAAAUGAGGUGUUGAAGUUUUAAUUUCAAAGUUACACAUCUGCACAUUGCACUUAUGCAGAACAGCAAGCACUGAGUAACAAUAAUAAAUUAAGACUAAAAUCAGAAAGAAAAAUGAAGCUUUAAUAUACAUGAUUUUGCAUCCAAUAUAAUUAGAUUUCUAUAGCAGGAGCAGGGAGAAGAGAGAUUCUUCACAUGUAAGGAUUCAUCCUCUACUCUGACACUUCACAUUUAUCAUGGUCAUGUAUGCUUGACAGCCACAAAUACAUAUAGGAUAAUACUAUGAUAGUACUAUUCUUCAGCAGAUGUUGAGAUAAAAUCACAAAGAGCAUCUAAACAGGCCUUGAAAUGUUUUCCUCAGUUGGACAGCACUCUAGAGGUUGAAAGCAUUAGACUUAGUGCGGAAUGACAUAGUAUUGAGUCAUCUACUCUUUGUGCUCUACCUGUUUAUUAUCUCGAAUUAAUCUUAAAACUAUUGCCUCAGGAAUCAUUUAAAAAAACAAAAAAGGGAAAUUAUCUUCGAUGAGAAAUUUCAGCACAUUGUCUGAACAUUUUGCAUCAAUGCAGGCCAUCACUAAAAUCCAUAAUCUAUUUAGUCAUUGCGGAUGGAAUUUUUGUAGCAUUUUUCAGUACUAUAUUAGGGAAAGCUUAACAUUGACAAUGUCAUGUUUGCAAUUUUUAGCUUAAUAUGGUUCUAGAUAAAAUAUCAGCCCCAAAUAAAACCAGGCAAUAUGCACCUGUGCACACAAUUGUCCUGAGCCCAUCGACCCACCAAAUAUUACCUCCUUUGAUAAUAGAUAACGGAGGAGGGGUACCUGUUCUGUGGCAAUGGCUAUCACGAGAUUCUCGAUUUGCUCCUGCUCAGCCUUGUGUGUCAAAAUCAUGUGUGCAACUGUACUGUACUUUAGCUACCCCAGCAUGAACAUGUGUGCCAAGGUAUGUUCAGAAAAUCUCUACUAAAAGGCAUGAUCAUGUGUGUCAACAUCAUCUCAAGGAAAUAGAAUAUUUCUAUAGUCCAUCAGACAUAUUAUCAUCCUUCUGUUCAACAACGCCAGCAUGAACAAGAGCAGUGGAGCUGUUUUUGCAAGACAGGUUAUCAGAAAAUCCUUAUCUUAGAUCCAAGAAGAACCUUUUUACCACCCAGGAGUGUGGAGUUCUCAUCAGUCAGAAAAUUCACAAGUCCAAGCCCAACCUUAUCGCCAAGUAAAAUUUCUGGUUCUGGCCGGCAUCAACAGAGGAUGCUCUGGGUGAUUUGGUGCCAAGGCCAGUGAAAAACUUGAGGUCUAGGGGUGAUGUACUGAUGUUGAAUAGCAAACAUGCAAGGAGACAAGGACGCUAUAUACAAUAGACAUACCACGUUAAAUUUUAGCCACAGCAAUAAGCUACUCUCCAGAGGAAUAUAUGCACAAGCCAAGAGAGCAAAUCAAAACACUGGACAUGGGGGAAUAAUUCUUGGACCUGCAUCUACUAACAGAAAAUAAUAGAUCUGAAUUUCUUACCUCUGAAUGAAACUAUAGUGAAACUAUAGUAGGGCUGCAUAUUUUUCUCAGACAUUACUGCUGCAUAUUUACAUGUGGAUGACCAUUUUCUUUGUGUUGCUGCAGUAUCAGGUAAGACAUAAGGUAGCUAAUAUGCAAUUAUGCACUUAUGCUAGUAAACUGGGGGUGUCUUGGCAGGAUUAUGCAGUUAUGCACUUAUGCUCUUCUGCAAUCCAACAACAUCAAUAAAAAUAGAGAUUUUUCUUAGGAAUUAGCAGUAGGCUUAUCCUAAAUUAGCAGGAGACUUAAGAAUAUUUAUGUUAGUGUGCGCAUGGACAGGCGGGUUUCGGUGAGCCAGCUGCAACCUCGCCUCUCGCCGGCGGCCGUGGAGGGCAUGCGCCGACCGUGGAGGACCUCGCCUCUCACCUCUCGCCGGUGACCCAGCUGCGACCUCGCCUCUCGUCGCCUCUCCUUGGUGGCGUUAGGCGCGUCUCCUCCUCGGCAGCUAGGUGGGAGGGGAGCGAGGGGAGUGCGUCCAGGCGGAGGUAUGCGCAGCUCCUCGACAGCUAGGUGGGAGGGGAGCGAGGGGAGUGCAUCCAGGCGGCACCGACGUUGCCGUUCGGCCGUAGGUAAGCGCACGACGGCGAAGUGGGCGGGGCCGUUGCUCGUCGUCCGGUAUUUUCCUGGCGCACGGCGCCCGUUGCACGGCGGCAAGGAGGGAGUGGCGUGAGUUUGAAGGCGAUAGGGAGGCUCGCUGGAUUGAGAGCGAGGGGAUUGAGAUCGGGGAUUGUGGGAGGGGAGGGAGUGCGGCGUUGUUGGGGCUUGCGGGAGCGAGGGAGUGCGGGAGAGAUGGAUGGGAUACUGAGGGGUGGGGAGGUGUCUAGAAGAGAGAGUGGGGCCCACAUGUCGGCGCAAAUUCACUCGGCUGAGUGAAGCAUCACGCGGCGGCUUCACCAUGGAGCCAUAGACGGGUCCGUUUCACGUUUUUUAGGUGUAGAGAUUAGUGUACUGUGUACAGUGAGCAAAAUUUUUUUGCCCUCUGUUAUUUAGCCCUCCCCUUGGUCCAUUUCUCGAUCCGCCACUGGAUGUUGGUACAGAUGGGUUGAACCCGCUUCCAUGGGCUGGAUCGGGGCGGGUUAUUUGCUUCAAAAUUUGGGUGGGGUUGGGUUAGGGGAACAACUUGAUAGCCUGAUGAUCGGGGUGGGUUAAGGGUGGAUUUAGCCCCAUUAGGCCUUAUUUGGAUGUAGUCGGAUUCGCAUCAAUCCACAUGUAUUGGGGUGGAUUGGAGUGGAACUUGAACUAAAUUCCACCCCAAUCCACUCCAACACAUGUGGAUUGAGGUGAAUCCAAUAACAUCCAAACAAGACCUUAACAGGGCGAGAUCCUGGUCUGGAUCCGAUGUUGGUCUGGCACCAAUACGGUGCUCCCGAACGAGGCCUUAAUUGGGCCGAAAGCAAGCCCCCCACCCCGAGGCCCUAUUGAGUGACAACUCUUCUCUUCUUCUUCCCCAGACGCCCGCGAUCGCAAUCCGCCGCCGCAGCCCGGCACCAGACGCCAUCUCUGGGCGUCAAGGUCAAGCGACUCUCACCCCCACUCCCAGUGCGUUCCCCUUCCCCGUCCACUCUCACCUUCCAGCCCUAGCUAGAGGCUAGUGCCUAGACCGGUGUACCUUGGGAGACGAGUGCCAGGUGCGGCGGCCGGCGGGAUCUAGUCAUCCGGGACGUCUGCACUUCGCCACAGCAGCAGGCAUCCCGUAAGCCGACAGGGCCGCAGGGCGCCGCACCAGAGGCUCAGCCGCGCAAGGCACCGAGCAGCCGAGCAACAAGUAGUCAGGCAGCCUGUGGGCAGCGGCAGACGGCAGCAAGGCUGGAAAUCACGAAGUACCUAUAGGUAUAUAAGUUCAGUUCUCCAUUAUCUGUAAUUUUCCCCACUUGAGGUGCAUUGUAGAUUCUCAGCAAUUGAUUAGUGAUUUAAUGGCAGAUUGUAAUCAACUCAACGUGACGAGAAGAACAUUUUUGUGCUCACAAUUUUUUUUAGUUCAAGCAAUGUAAAUAUUGGUGGUACUUCCCUGAGUGCAUAUCAAUGCUCUAUGAAUGUAAAAUUUGAUCUUCAAUUGUUUAUUGGCCCUAUAAAAUCGUACAAAGUUUCUCCAAUAUACCUAUUGAUCCAUUAAAAUUGUCUCAUAACUUCUGUUUACGGAUUUUGGGACUGCACAACUGAUGGAUUCCGAGAGAUGUAACAGACUUACAGUAGGGAUGCUAGGCCAAAGAGUUAAAAUAUAUUUACAUGGUAGUAUAUUUCGUAACUGUAGUAGUUUCAACAUUAUAUAGAUUAAUCAUGAACUUUUAGUUGUAUUAAACAAAUAAGAUGCAUAUGUUCAUUGUUGUAACUAAGUUCGUUAUGAAUUUGUGAAGGUAUAUAUUUGUAUAUGAAACAGCUUUGGACUAGCAAAUUUUAUGUAUGUGAUAUGUUUGUGUCUUCCUUAGAGCUCAGCCCUGCCUACUAUUUUAGUCUGAGUCUGCCCCUGAUCAAGAUUCAAGUAUGGCUUCUGCCGGGUUGGCUGGGAUGAGCGGUGCGGCUCGUCCUCUCAUGAGGCUCGUCACCAUGAGCGGUGUGCCAAUCCUCCAGCAGCUGCACCUGGAGGAGGAGCUCCUGCGCUGCACUUCAGACAACUGGUGCAUCAUCAACAAUGGCACGACCCCUGCUACCAUCGUCAUGGGCGUGUCUGGGUAUAAACUAAACUCCUCUCAGAUUUUGUCAGGAAGGAUGAUUCAGUCAUGCAUUGUCCCCUUUGUAGCCCAUGUUGAGCUGCUAAUUUGGUUGUGCGAUGGCAGGAGAGUCUCAGAGCUUGUAAAGAUACAGCCUGCCCUCCGGGACCAGGUGCCGGUCGUGAGGAGGUUCAGUGGAGGUGGCACCGUCAUUGUUGAUCAGGGAACGGUGUUUGUGACUUUCAUUUGCAACAAGAAUGCCAUUGCCGGGCUGCAGCCCUUUCCACGGGACAUCAUGUCAUGGAGUGGUCAGCUAUAUGGCAAAGUUUUUGACAGAUUUGGUGAAUUUCAUCUACGUGAGAAUGGUAUGGAAAAUCAGCACCAAUUUUAUCAUUUGCCAGCUUAAUAUUCUAUUUCUUACAGUGAGCGAAAAUUCCAUGUUCAAAUGCAUUGUAUCCCAGUAUAUCCUUUAAGGAUAGAAAAUUAUGGCUUUUGUUCUUACAUUUAAGUGGACAUAGUUUACUAUCCUUCGUUGAACAUAAUCUAUUUCUAGAUAACAAAAUUUGAAUUUACAUUCGUCGAUGAUUACCUUGUCACCAGCUUGUAUCCAAAUAUGUUGGGAAACUGUUUCUCAGUGCUGAGGAUGCAAUGCUGUCCAAGUGAUUAACUUAUUAUGCAUUUGUUGUUUCAGACUAUGCAUUUAGUCAUCGAAAAUUCGGUGGAAAUGCUCAAUCAAUAACAAAAAAUCGUUGGGUUCAUCACACAUCGUUCUUGUGGGAUUAUGAUGUGAAAAAUAUGGAUUAUCUCAAAAUCCCAAAGCGUGCACCGGAAUAUCGACUGGUAUGAUCCUAUCUGUUUGUCUUGAUCUGAUUUUCAGCAUCCUUUGUGCACAGGCAUUGAGAAUGAUGUUUAGAAUGAACUUCUCCAAUGAGAUUAUCAAAUUUGAGCAUCUUUAAUUUUGAUAUAUGUUACUCAGAGUUAAUCAGGCAGGAAACUGUACAUCAGUAGUGUGCUAUCAUAAUCGCUGGUGCCUGAGCAAUUGAUCUGUAAAACACUGAACACCCUUUACGAGUCUCUUAGUUUUUGCCAGAUUGUGUCACAAUGUUUUCCUAACUACUCGGUCAACUUUUGCCCCUUAUUGGUGUGAACUAUCAAUAAUUGUUGUGACCCUUGAUCUGGUAAGGUCCAAGAACUGGUUGAAGUUGGUUAAUCAUGGCUUACUUUAUCAGAAUUAGUGAUUACUGCAUGUAUAUAUUAUGUAAGAAAAGGUUUUAACAGUGAUUGCCAGACCAAAGAGUUGAGCAGCAGUAAUACUGAAGCCUGGAGAGUUAAAUGGGUUUUACUGUAAGUGCUUUAGUAUACUGAAACCUGAAAAGUUAGAUGGGUUUUACUGUAAGUGCUUUAUUUUGUACUUGAAUGAUAUCCUAGAGGAGAUGAAAAGUGCUGGGUAGAAAUAAACCAGUUUAGUUUUUGAUCAAUUAUUGGAUGCAAGGAUCUGGCAUUGCACAAAAUAGUGCAAUGAUGACCAGUGGUGUCAGACAGCAGCUUGGCCAUGCUAGUUGAUUUGUGGUGGAACUUCGACUGUGGAAGUAUUGCCUAGUAAUGGCAUGGAUUGCCAAAACUCAGUGCAAUCAUUGACCCACUUUACACAAGAACGAGCUGUAACUGAAUAAUCAUUGAGUUUGUGAUGUGAAGGAUUGAAGGUAGAGUGCGAAGUUUUUAGUGGCAAACUGUUGCACUUGGGCUUAGACCAGAGUUGAGGACUAUUGUUGUUAUAUCAUAUAACUUUCAUUGAUAUGUCCGAAGAGUUUAGAGCUGUCGUUUGGAACUUUCUGGGUACAUAUAAACAAUGAUUGAGAUGUUGAGAACCAGCCAGUAAUGCUGCAAAUGAUAUUGGUUUUCACCACGCGCUCUUAGGUCUUAACUAUCUUGAUUCUUGAUCCAGUUUUUGCAUGGAAAUGGUUCCAUGGAAUAUGGUUGGGAAUGGGCCCAAAUCUUUAUAUAUAGAAACAUUUGGGGUGUUUGGUUUGUAGAAUGAAGUGGUCCAUCAUCAUCUCACUCUCUGGUUUUUUCUUUAGUUUGUGGAAUAGAAUGAGUUUACCCAUUACCAUGAACUAAUAAUUAGUACUAGCAUGAGGAGUGAGGUCAUUCCACUGAAUUUGAGGAAUAGACUAGUGAUGCAUCACAUCAUAGUAUGGAUUGAUUCCACAAAAGCAAACACUCCAUUAAUGCAUGGUUUUUCAUUUGUACUCAAAAUACCUUCAGCUUUGGAAAUCUUGCAGUUGAAAUGUACUUAUUUCUGUGACAGUACCACCCAUGUUCCUGGUUGUGUAUGUUUUACACUUGAAUUGAGCCUAUUUCAGAUAUAUGGUAUCACUCAUUUUUUACAGUUGAGAUUCACGAAAGGUGAGUGUCAACUCAAAAUGUUCACCAUUAAUGUGGAUUUCUCAUUUUCUUUCCAGGCAAGAAACCACACAGAUUUCUUGUGCCGCAUGAAGGAGUAUAUACCUUCACGUUCAGUUUUCACCGAUGGGGUCAUUGCGGCCCUGGGAGAACACUUCUCAGUUCAGCCCAUGGAUCUACAAGCAGUUCCUUCCGGUGAUGAAGAAUUUGUGCCUUCUACAAAGCUGCUGUCACAACAAGACCUAGAGGAAAUUGUUUCCUCCAAAGAAUCCCCUAGAGUACAGAAAGUCGAAGCAUGACCAUGAUUGUCGUUUUUUGUUGUGAAAUCUGAGCAAUUAUCUGCGCUGUGGAUUCAUUCAACUUCGAGUCCGACAUUAUGGUCACUGAACCACUGACAUUGUUUUUUCGAAACCCAGUACAUAUGAAGAUCCUCACACGCAUGUGCGUCAUAUUCCUAUGAGCAUCUCUAAGAGACAGCUGGAUUCACGAAUUUCAAAAUUGAUAUAAGUCUUGUAGGCUUUGCUAUUGAUAGACACUGAAAAAUUAAUUAAAUUCUGGAAUAAAUACAAGAAAAUACAACCGUUCAUACUAAGCCAAAGACUUAAACACAGAUAAAUAGAUUUCACCAAAAAAAGCCUUACUAAUUGAGCUACACUCAGUUUGCAACCGCUGACGUCUUACUACUUUAUCAUAACAAUUUUGUGCAUUUAUAUACUGUUACAUUGGAAAUAAUGUUGGAAGAAUAAAUCAGGAAAAUAUGUAUCCAUUUCUAUUCUUGAAUAUCCAUUGGUCGUACUCUCUUUGGUCAUAAAUAGUAAUGUUUCGGAUUGUAUUAACUAGCAUAUACAAAUAACUGUCGGUGUUGGUGUGCUUGCCAUAAAUUUGACUCGAUUUGUAGAAAAUACGUGCAGCAAUUGUAUCUCUAAAUAAAUUUAUUAAUAAACUAGAUUGAAGGAUCUUUCCAUUGACAAUAAUUAUAUACCGUAAAUAUUAAUACUUUCUUGAUAUAUAUUUAGUCAAAGUUGUUUCUUAAGAAACCACAAACGACCGAUAUUUAGGGACGGAUGGAGUAUACCUAUACAUUCGAGCGUAAUCUAUAGCGUGACUCUUUUUUUUGUGAACAUAGCUUGACUCAUCUAUUCCAACACAAUUUUUAGUUGAAUUUUGUAUCGUGGCGCCAACGUGCGACUCUAAAUUAUUGGUACGGGUUAUGAGUUUGGGUCACUGAUGAGACAAUAAAUGUAUUAUAAGAGCAACUCUAACAAUUUGACUAUUUUUGUUGUCGAGACUAUUUUAGAAUUUGUACAGUAAAACGUAGGCUCCAACGGAUAUGUUAUCUAGUUUUGUAAAAUAAAAAAUUGGCUACCAUUAAUUUUCGGUGGCCAUAUAUAGCCAACCACUGACACUAGCUAUCUGAUUUUGUAAAAUAGCAAGACUAUUGUAGACCUCUUCUUUUUUAAGAAGUUCUCUAUUUUACAAAAUGACAAAAUAAUAGAAUUUGAAUACUAACUUUAGCCAACUAUUAGAGUUAUUCUAACUCUUGCAUAAUUCCCGUAAAGUUCAUGCGUUUCAAACUUGCUCCUAGCGAGCCCGUUCUUUUUUUUAUCAGCCGCCAAUAGUAUUUCUCUCUCUCAAUAAAUCAGCCAAAAAUAAUUUCGGCUAUGAUUUUUCAGACCAGUGAAUAGGCUUCGGGUGAGCAUGCAUAUUGGUCCCGUUGGUUCGUUAAAGUAAAAAUAAAAAAAAAUGCACAGGCGGCUGCCUGGCUAGAAACGUGCUGCCGUUGAGCUUGAAUGAACCAUAUACUACGCAUCAUCAGGCCUGUCCGGUUCCGAUUGCGGCCCCGCCUUCUCUGGUACUAUUUUUAACCGCGGCACCGCUCCGGAGUCCGGACAGUGGGGGAGGUACACCGGGCGUUCCCAUGGGCCGUGGCGCCCCCCGUGUGUUCCAUGCAUGACGCUGGCACAGGAACGCGGCGGUGGUCCGUGGGUGACGGACACGCGCGCGUCACGCACGAACGCGGCUACAGUGGGCGUCUGUGCGGGGCCGCGUAGUACGUAUGCACUGCAUGGCACGAUAUAUACCGGCGGGCGAGCACGCAGACCAGCUCACCGGCCACCGGUGGUGGUCGACACUGGUACGGCCAGGCGACGCAGGCAGCGCCGUGGCAUCACGCCGAUCCUUUCCCGGUUCCGGCCGCUCACCGGCCUGUCCGACAGGGACGCACGGGCACUCUCGAACCGCGAGCGGGGGGAGCAAAGCAACUAGUGGAGUGGUGGACCCACCCUUGAACAAGAGAACUGCAUGGAUGAACAGGGCCACGUACGUCGCAGAGGAUCCCGGCCGACCGGGUGCUGCGGCCGUUCGGGGCCCGCGGCGCGCGCCCGUCACGUCCGCCUCGCCCUCGGCAGACUCGGGUCCCGGCCACGAAGCUAUAACCACCCCGGCCCUCAGCUCGCGCGCGGCGCGACGUACGUAUUCAUGCGCGACGUCCGCGCACGUGCUAAUGAGGACGUAGCGCGCCGCAAACGCCGGCAUGCAUGCCAAUGCCACGCCAUCCAUCAUUCUCAUGGACCCGGCUGGAUGGGAUUGGCACCCGCAGCCGAGCCGAAGCCACACCACACCACACCCACGCGCGCACCGGCUGGGGGCCUCGUGUGCGGUACGUACGUCGGCUGUAGAUGAGACCGGCCCGGCAUUGGUGUCACAGCCGGGAAUCAUUAAUGGCUUUGCAGGUCCGAGUAGCUAGUAGCUUGGUGACGAUCACGACUCACGACAAAGUGGGGUCUAUGCUGAGGAAUACAUACUCCUACGGAGUACAUCAUUGAUGUAAACUUGAGUCAUCAGCAUUACUGCUAUACAUGGACUAUAAGGCCUUGUUUAGUUCCAAAAAUUUUUUUGGAAAGCGACACUGUAGCACUUUUGUUUUUAUUUAACAAACAUUGUCUAAUCAUAGAGUAACUAGACUUACAAGAUCCGUCUCCGAUUUACAGACAAACUGUGUAAUUUGUUUUUAAUUUCAUCUAUAUUUAAUGCUCCAUGCAUAUGCCGCAAGAUUCGAUGUGACGAUAAAUCUUGAAAAGUUUUCGGUUUUUUGGGUGACCUAAACAAGGCCUAAAUUUAGGAGGCACUAGCUACAUCGGAGGUUCAAUACUAAGGGUGUUUAGUUCCGCUUCUAUUUCAAAAAAAAAAAUUAAAUUUUAAUUCAUGAUUUUGCAAAAUAGAACUAAACAACAUGCAAAAUUUUUAGCAAAAAAGUGGUUAUUCCCCAUUAUGGAUUUUGGCCUCAAAUACCCAAAGAAAAACCCAAAUGAGCCUCAAGAGGUCCUCAUGAGGUCAAUAAAUUAUGUAUUUUGGAUGGAACUAAAUAUAACACUGAAAAUUUUGUCAUUUUACAUUCCAUCAUUUCAUAGUAGUUGGCAUUUUGUAUUUUACAUUUUUUAGAACUAAACACCCCCCCCUAAUAUAAUUAGAAGAACUAAACAUGAGUUAAUCAUAAAACUAAUUACAGAAAUCAGCCAAAUCAACAAUUAUCCGCUUGAGUUUAUCAGCCGAAUCUAAAAAUACUAUUAAGGAGGUAAGACCUUAAACGGAUCUAGCCUUUGAUUUUGUGAAAAGCGAAAAUAUUUAUAAUGAUUGUGAUGAUAAGUAACUAGAAAAACAAAUCUCGGCAACCAUGCAGGCAGAUGCAAGAGGCCCAGCAGCACCAUUAUCCGCUUGAUUGGCGUGCAUUCACUACUGAAAUCACACGCUUUGUCUAGAGUCUACGGCACUCGGCAACUCGGCAAACAGUUUGCUGACUACCACACUUGGCAAAGUUGAGAUAGCAAAAAAAACUUAACGGCAAAGAAGGCUUUACCGAGUGUCCGUUUGAUACUUGGCAAACAAAAGUAGCCCGUUUGCUGAGUGUCAUUUUGUAGUUCAAAUUUUAGUUAUUCCAAAAAAUUCAAUUAAAUAAGGUAAAUUAACUAAAGAGUAAAGUCCAUCAUCGGUCUAUAAACUUGUACCGUCAUGUCAUCCUGGUCCUUAAACUCGCAAAUUGAUCGUUUAUAUCCUCGAACUUGUUCGUCUAUGUCAUCCGGGUCCGUAAACUUGUUUAGCUGUGUAAUUCUGGUCCCUAAACUUAAAAAUUACACGUUUAGGUCCACAAUUUUUUCAAUUGUGUCAUUCCGUCCUAAACUUGGUUUUGAGUCUCAUCUAGCUCAAAACAAAGCGAUCUAAAAACUCUAUAUCAAAAAAUAAUUCAUAACUUCUUAAUAUAAACUUGAAUAAAUACAAACUUUAUAUCCAAGUUGUAGCCUCAUUGCUAUCUACAACUUUGUAGUUGAAAGUUUUUUUAUUAGAAGUUGUUUAGUGUCACAAAAUUUAAUUUUAAAUUUUAAAUUUCAAAAUCUAUAAACAUAAAAAAAAAUAUUUUGGGAUCCUAAAUGAUUUUACUUUAAAAACUUUUCAACUACAAAGUUAUAGAUCAUGUUGCUGUCUAUAAUUUCAAUAUAAAGUUUAUUUUCAUUUGAGUUAAUAUAAAAAAGUUAUGAGUUUUUUCGAUAUAGAGUUUUUAGAUUCGCCAUGUUUUGAUCUAGAUGAGAUUUUAAAACAAGUUUAGGGACUGUGAUGACACAAUUGAAUAAGUUUGAAGACCUAUAUCAGAGAUUUUUAAGUUUAGGGAUUAGGAUGACACAAACAAACAAAUAGGUAUUUAAACAAUCAUUUUGUAAGUUUAGGGAAUGGUGAUGGACUUUACUCUUAACUAAAUAUAGCAAAUAGAUUGAGAAAGGUAUCAAAAUUUCACAUGGAAUCGAGGUUACAGUAUAACAUUAGCAGAAAAAGUUUGAAGGCCUGUGUAAUCUCAAAAAAAAAACACCCAAGUGUUAAAUGAAAACACUAGGUAAAACGGUAGCUUUGCCUAGUGUCAUGAUAAAACACUAGGCAAAAUGGUUACUUUGCCUAGUGUCAAACUAAAACGCUAGGCAAAAUGGUCACUUUGCCGAGUGCGAAACAAAACACUCAGCAAAGCCUAACGGCGGGUUAGCCACCAUUUGCUGACUUGCAGCUUUGCCGGAUAUUAGGCAAAAUGCUCAUUUGCCGAGUGCCUACCGUUGCUAAGUGACUGGCACUAGGCAAAACGAGGAUUUGUCGUGUGCAUUUCUUUGCAGGGUGGGACACUUGCACAACCAAAAUUUUUAAAUUCUCAUAGUGUUUUAGCAUUCAAAAAUUAGUAUAAAUUUUUCCUAAGUAAAUUUCUCCCAGUAAGAAUUCCCUAGUUCUAUGACUAGUUAUAGUAUUUUACUACUAAUUAAAAACACCAAAAGAACUCCACCAAUUUGGUAUUGUCGGCAAAUGACUUCUUUGGUGAGUGUCGAUAAAUUACACUCGGGCACUCGGCAAAGCAUACGAUACUGGGCAAAGAACAUAUCUUCGAUAUGAUCACGCACAUGGGCGAAGGUACGUUGCUUAGUGUGGAUGCGGCCGCACCCAUUCAAAAUUAAAAUAACAGUGAAAAGACUCAAAAAUUCACCAUAUACUCAACUGACCACGCACGCACAUUCAGUAUAUAUUAGCUCUAUAUGGAUGGAUCAAACAGGGACCUGGCCCUGUUUAGUUUCCAACCUAAAAAAUUUUCAUCCAUCCCAGCGAAUCUUUAGAUACAUGCAUAGAACAUUAAAUGUAGAUAAAAAAACUAAUUACACGGUUUUGUUGAAAAUCAAGAGACGAAUCUUUUAAGCCUAGUUAGUCUAUGAUUAGCCUUAACUGCUACAGUAAUCCACAUGUGUUAAUGACAGAUUAAUUAUGCUUAAUAGAUUUGUCUUGCGGUUUCCAGACGAGCUAUGUAAUUUAUUUUUUUAUUAGUUUCUAAAAGUCUCUUCCGAUAUUAUUUCGACAUAUCCGAUGUGACAUGUAAAAAAAUUUUUAUCUCCCAUCCAAGCAGGGCCUAAUUAGCUGAGAUGCUCGACGGUACUGAAACAACUGUACGUAGCAGGAGCUAGGUCGUCCACGCCCGGCCAAAGAUCGAGACACGGGUUCGGUCUCGAUCGGCGGCGAUGCGCGCGGCAUGCGUCCCGUCGCUAGAGCUAGCUCGCCGCGUGCACCCCAUGAGCGCGAGACCUUUAGCUAGCGACUGGUGAAAAAAGAAAGCCGUGAGAGAGUUCGGUCGCACGUCGUGUAUGCUGCAUUGUAUGCAUGCAUGAGAGCGCGAUGGGGGACCGACGACGGCCGUCGUCGGGGCAUGCUUGGCGCUAUGGCCGCGGAAGCCGGCGUGUGCAUGGACCGUCUCUCAUUAAACGGCCGGAUGGGCAUCUCGAUCGACCGGACCGACGGAUUUGCACGGGACACACGCCUCCGAUCCGUAUGAUACGCGUGGACUAGCUAGCUAAUGUCCUGGCCUGACAUCAACGGGAUUAAGGUGUCUAUUGUCGACGCCACUAUAAUUGGCGAAUAUCCAUUAGAUUUAAAUUCGAUGAAUGAUUCUUCGAUCAAUCAGACAUUUCUUAUUUCGUUAGAAAAACAUCCAACCUCAUUCUUUGGGAAACACUCAUCCCAUGCCCCUCUCUUUUUUUUCUCUCGUUCUGCAUGACAUCAGCGCUAACAACACAUUCUAAAAAAAAAAUAUUUAUUUUAAAAUACUAUAACUUUUAAAUGGUGUAUCCAUUUUUAUUUUUGUCUGUACCAUGAGACAAACAAAACUAGACCAUACUUGCAUAUAUUUUACUCUAAGAAAUACAUACAUAGAGAUUUGCUAUACGUUCUUUCUCCAGGAUGUGAACGUAAGGUCAGUCUCAAUGUACAGUUUCAUGGCACAGUUACCAAGAUUAUAAACUAGGUAACCGAGCCACAAGAGUUUCAUGGUGAUGAAACUCCUCUCUCAUCUCAUGAAACUCCUUAAUUUAAUGACGCUGCCAUGUCAACAAUUUUGCUUAUGUGGCACCCUAUUUAAUGUGCAUGACACUCUUAUGAAACAUACAUUGAGACUGACCUAAUAUCGAGAUGUUCCUAUAGUUAAUGCACCGUUGCGGAGCGUGCCAAGUGUGCCAUAUAUCGAGCCAAAGUUCAUGUGCCUACGGCCGCGGCGGCGGCGUAAGCGAGGGUUGUCAUUGGCCGGCCGGCGUAUGGGCACGGCCGCGUGGCCAAUCGCAGUCGUUAACGGUGCCGAGACGAGGCGAUCAUCGGACGAAACGCACACCAACAGCGACGCAUAUUUACGCGCAUGCCGCAUGCAGAGGUUGCAGCAGCAGCAUUUGUCAGUGUGCUACGUGCCCCUACCACACAAUACGAGCAUGUGCUAACUACCGGCCGGUACGUAGCUAGAGAUCGACGUACGUAUACGUCAUGCAUGCUUCCGACGUGUACGUGUACGUGUACUCGGUGUUCAAGCGAUUUGGCCGGUCUGCAUCCUGCCGGUUUCUUGCGUUGUGUUUGCAUAUGUGUGCGCGCAUGUGGCCGACAGGUCUAAUCGGCGGUGAUAGCCGUUUGUGUUGGUAGCGAAGGGUCAAGGCUUCAAGGGUGUGUGUGUCCGCGGCAGAGAGCUAGCAGCCAGGAAGUGGACGAUCCGACAAAACAAAUUGAUAGCAUCGAUUGAAUGGAACCGCAUCGAACAUAAACAUCAGGGCCUAAUUGCUACAAUAUUAGAACCCUAAACACAUUAACUAAUCCAAAGAAUUUGCCAAACCCUAGCAUAGGGCAAAGAGGAAUCUUACAAACAACAAGAACAACGAAGACAUGCUAUGAUUUUCUCACGUUUCAUAUUCUCCCUCGAGGUAAUCCUUACCGAUAGACGUCUUGUCGUCUUGACCUAUUCCACCCAUAUAGUAACGCCAUCAAGACCAGUGACAGAAGGCAUGGGAUCGAGGGAAAACAAGAAGAGAAGAUCCCUAACUGGUUUUAGAUGAGGAAUUGAAUAGGGUGGCGAUCCAUGGGCAAAACCUUAAUUUCUCCCAUCUCCUCCCUUCUCUCUUCUUCUCCUUAUUAUGUUCUUCUGGUCGUGAGGAUAUAGGAGGAGCAACCAGGAAAGAUACGGAGAAGGCAGGGGCGGAGCUAAGGCUUCUUAAUUAUUGGGGUCAGCUAACCUCGAUAGAUUUUUGAAAAUCAUUAGAAAAAUAUUGUACAUGAUUGCUAUUAGCUCCAAAUGACGCCUACCAUAUCCUUCAGCCAAGACCCUAGCUAGUGAUCUUCUAGCUUGUCUUCUGCCAGAAGGAAGUCCAAGAAAAGGAAAGAGAAAAUUCAUCAACGGUCCCUUAACUUGACUCAAGGUGUCAUUUAGGUUCCUAAACUUUCAAAGUGAUACCUGUGAGUCUCUAAACUUGGCAGAGGAUGUCAUUCAAGUCCCUAAACUUUCAAGGUGACCACCACAGGUCCUUAAACUUGGCAAAAGAGUGUCAUCUAGGUUUCUAAACUUUUAAAAAGAUCACUGCAGGUCCACAAACUUAGCUGAUGGUGUCAUACCGGUCUAAAUAUGAUCCAACUCACUCUAUAAAUUAGUGUGACAUACUGACUGUCAGUUAGACGUGUAUAUAUCCACCAUGUGUCAAUUAAUCAAUCAUUAUUUAUAUAAAAUUUAUGAUGAAAUUAUAAUUAUGUAAAAUAAUUUACAUCAAAAACUAAAGUAAAAUAUUGAAAAAUUUACAACAACAAAUAAUUUAUAUCGGCAAAAAAAUUACAAUAAAUAUACAAAUAUACUAUAAUACCUUCAUUAAAAAUUUUAAUACUACAAUACUAGUAUUAGAAUUUUUAAUAACAAUAUUACUAACUGUAAUAAAAUAUUAUACAGUAAUACAAUAAAUAUUAUUAUUUUAUAAUUUUAAUAUUAUUUAAUACUAUUAAUGAUACAAAAAUAUUAAUAUAAUUUAAUUAUUUUCUAUUUUAGUUUAUACCAUUUGUUGUUGUAAAUUAUUUUAUAUAAUUUAUAAUUUUAUAAUAAAUAUUAUAUAAAUAUUGAUUGAUUAAUUGAUACAUGUUGGAUCCACGUUUAACAUAGAAUCAGCCUGUAUGAUCGACAUACCAUUUUGAUUACUUAACACAUAGAAUCUCAGCACUUGAAAUUAACAUGAAUUCAGUUUGAACAGCGCACGGUCUGCAUUUCGGCGUAACUCAAAGGAAAUGUAUCUGAGACGUAGGACGUCUCAACUGAUUCAACCAGUCCAUAUCCUCCCAGUUAUGUACUGUACGUAAUGCCAUGUGAGGUGGCCAAAGCUACUACUAGUUUCGCUCUCGUUGAUGAUAGCCUCUAGUACGGAGCAGAACACGCGUACUGUGCGGAAGGUGUGGACGGACGGACAAGUAGCUAAAGACAAAACCGGGCUCUUAGUUUAUAUGAUUACAAAGGCCUUGUUUAGUUCGCAAAAUUUUGGUUUUUUUGCUACUGUAGCACUUUCGUUUUUAUUUGACAAACAUUGUCCAAUCACGGAGUAACUAGGCUCAAAAAAUUCAUUUCACAAAUUUCAGAUAAACUGUGUAAUUAGUUUUUAUUUUUAUCUUUAUUUAAUGCUUCAUGCAUGAGACCAAAGAUUCGAUGUGACGGGGAAUCUUGAAAAUUUUUGCGAACUAAACAAGGCCUUAAACACCAUGUACUGUAGAUGUGUAGUCGCAGUACAACGAGAAGUUGGACAGCCCUAGUUUAGCUAGGAUUAAUUAUGCGUGUCACUCAUCAUGAGACAGUGAAGCGAACAGGGGCAUAUUAAGCCGGUCCUCCAGCUAGUUAACAUAGCCAGUACUACGUGCUGAUGACCAUCAGCUUUAUCAGUGACACUAGUACAAAAGUGCUCAAAGCCAACAGGCAGUUUUAAUUAAAAAACACCUGUGGAAAAAAUAAGGCUUACCCGACCGCCUGUGAAAAUCAAUUUUUACAGACGGUUUUUCUAACAAAACCGCCUGUAGAAAUCAUAUAUUUCUACAAGCGGAUUUCUUAAGAAACCGCCUGUAGAAAUAUGAUUUCUACAUGCGGUUCCUUAAGAAAUCUGCCUGUAGAAAUAAUUUGAACUUGAUUUUUUUGAACUUUUCAAAUGACCUCGUUUGAAAAAACCGUCAAAAUAAAAGUUGUAGAUCUUGAAAAGUUAUGAAACUUUGUAGUUGAUAAUUUUUUUAUUUGAAAUCAUCUUGUCAUCGAAAACUAUGUUUAAAUUUCUCAAAUUUAAAAUUCAAAUUUUGUAAAUGACCUCGGAUGAAGGAACUACCAAUAUAAAAGUUGUAGGUCUUAAAAAGUUGUAAAACUUUAUAGUUGACGACUUUUCCAUUUGAAUACGUUUAGGGCCUCAAAUAAUCAAUUUAUGCUUGGUUUAUGAUAGUAUGUGAGGAACUAAACUCUAUCACAAACAUAAGUGAGUGAUAGGUGGAGUGGUAGAGGAGGGCACGCGCGAUGGUGAGGUCUCAGGUUCGAAUCCCACUGAUCGCGUAGCUCGCGAUUUUACGCGAAAAAAUGCACGACUUGCCUGUAUUAAAAUCUUUUUUUCCUAUUUUUAAAAACUGAUUUCAUAUUUUUUACCAAAAGAUUUCUAUAGGCGGUUGGCAUAACUGAACCGCCUGUAGAAAUACUUUCCCACAGGCGGUUCUAAGUUACCCGCCUGUGGAAAAAAUUAUUUCCACAGGCCACCAAACACAGGCGGUUCGCCAAACUGCCUGUAAAAAGAGGUUUAGAACCGCCUGUAUAAUACCUCUGUGUACUAGUGUGAUCUACUGAUCUACUACAACCACAUUGCUUGGUACCCGUGAUGGUUAGAGUUAGUUAGUAGCUUUAAGACAACUUCUCAUGACACUCUCAUAUGACUUUAAAAUAUGUGCGCAAGAGUUUAUAUCUUUUCUCUCUCUUAUCUUGAAAUAUGAAAGAAAUCACUAUAGGAUACUCAUGCUUUGCUGAGUGUCUGUGACACUCAGCAAAUGUCCAAAUACACUCGACAAAGCAUUUGUCGAGUGCUACACUCGGCAAAAACCACACGACAAAUUUUUAGCCGACAAAGAGGUUUUUGUCGAGUACUAUUUUUUGGACACUCCAUAAAGGCUUUGUCGACACGUACUCGGCAAAGAUAGAAACAAAAAAAUCUAAAAAAAAUCUAAAAAAAGAGAGAACGCGGGAGGCCCGCACUCGCCAGCCUCUAUCUGCUGGCCAGAAGAUGGGAUUUAAACCCAUGACCUCUCUCGCUCGUCUCUUUCCUUAACCACUGCACCACUCUAUCACUUGUGUUUAUAUUGUAUUUCGGUUCCUCAUAUAUUAUACUAAAUCAUGUGUAAAUUGAUUAUUUGAGGUCCUAAAUGAUUCCAAAUCAAAAAGUUGUUAACUACAAAGUUUUAUAACUUUUUAGGAUCUACAAUUUUCAUUUAUGGAGUUUCUCCAUCCGAGGUUGUUUACAAAAUUUGAAUUUUAAAUUUGAGAAAUUCAAACGUAGUUUUUGCAUGACAAGAUGAUUCCAAAACAAAAAGUUGUCAACUAUAAGGUUUCAUAACUUUUUGAGAUCUAUAAAGUUUAUUUAGGGAGUCUUUCUAUCCGAGGUCGUUUAAAGAAUUUGAAUUUUAAAAUUUUUAAUUAAAGACACAGUUUUGCAUGACAAGAUGAACUCAAAGAAAAAGUUGUCAAUUACAAAAUUUUAUAACUUCUCAAGAUCUAAAAGUUUAUUUUUUUUGUUUUGUCAUUUGCUCAUCCAACAUGGUGAUUCUAAUAUUUUUCAUAAAUCUUAUAUAUCUCUCUUCUAGUUUUAUAAACUAUAAAAGGGAUAUGUAAAAUUUGUAAACAAAUUUAUUUAACUUUGUCAAAUGAAGAAAUAAUCAAAAUAAAUGUUGUAGAUCUUAAGAAGUUAUACAACUUUGUAGUUAAAAACUUUUUGAUUUGAAUUUGUUUAGGGCUUCAAAAUUCGAUUUAAAAUUUUCUUUGCCGAGUGUAAAGAAAACACUCGGCAAAGAGGCUUCUCUGCCGAGUAUAAAAAAACACUCGGCAAAGACCUUUGCCGAGUGUUUUUGUUUGACACUCGACAAAGAAGCCUUUGCCGAGUGUUUUUUUUACACUUGGGAAAGAUGCCUCUUUGCCGAGUGUUUUUUUGCGGCACUCAGAAAAGAGCUUCUUUGCCGAGUGUCAAAAAACCACUUCGCAAAGCAUUUAAUGCUCAGCAAAGAGGCGGAUUCCGGUACGAAUACUUAGAGCUAGUUUAAGAGUCAAUCAUUGAAGCUAUUGUUUUGCUACCUAUAUCCGGAUCGUCUUCUCACUUUUGCUGCCUUGUUUAGUUCCCAAAAAAUUUUGCAAUUUUUUUUUAGAUUUUUCGUCACAUUGAAUGUUGCGGCGCAUGCAUGGAGCAUUAAAUAUAGAUAAAAAUAAUAACUAAUUAUACAGUUUACCUGUAAUUUGCGAGAUGAAUUUUUUGAGCCUAGUUAGUCUAUGAUUGGACAAAAUUUGUCAAAUACAAACAAAAGUGCUACAAUAUCUAUUUUGCAAAAUUUUUUGGAACUAAACAAUUUCAUUACCAUAUCAUUGUUGUGCAAAAACCUCACAAGCUAUCAAUUCCAUGAUGCCCCUUUUCCUAGGAGGCUUACUCUGCUUAUUAAGGCCUUGUUUGGAUGCAAAGAAUUUUUAAAGUAUUGAAGAAAUACCAUGGUUUUACAAAAUACUUUGGUUUUUUAAAAGCUAGUAGGUGUUUGAAUGCAACAAAUCAAGUAAUCUCUAAAACCAUGGUUUUAUCAAAACUGUAGUCUUUUGCAGUUUUAGAAACUCCACUCAAGACCUCGUGUUUCAAAACUACGGCUUUGUAUUUCUUUGGCUUAUAAAAUCAUAGUUUUAUGAUACUACAGUUUUUAAAAACCACAUCUAAAACCUACAUGGUUUUUACAUCCACUCUUAUUAAAAUUGGACAUGGCAAUGAAAGAAUCCACUUUUGAGGUCAUGUUUGGUAAUGACAUAUGUGAGCAUUUUACGUAUGCAAAUUUAGUAGGUAAUUUUUUUAUUUUUUAGUAAUGACAUAGGUAAGUAAUUGAAAUGAAGAUUUAAUUUGUUACUUCAUAGUACUUUUCAUAAUAGUGGCAUAGAAUGGUAAUUUCGAAGAAAACAUAAAUUGUUAAUUAAUGGUAGUUUUUAUAAUGUGAACUAGAAGAUACAACACACGUUGUUGCGGGGAUUGCGAAAAAAUUAGAAUGAAAUUAAGUAAAAAUAACAUGGAUAACUUACAUUAAGAGGUUGAAAAUUAGUUAGAUUAGGCUUAUAAGAGAGAGAGAGAUAAAUGGAUAGUUCAGAUGCAGAUUGAGGGCAUUAUAUAUUCAAGUAUUCUAAUAAUAAACGUGGUGGUUGAUUUCUAAGAAAACCUACUAAGAUCCAUGGAUGCCACUGUUAUUGGGAAUGAUGGUCGACUUGUACUGAUUUGAUAGCCAUAUGUUUUCGUAGGAUUUUUUUUAUGCAACAACACUAAUGAAACGUUGCAAUUUUAAAUUGUAGUGAUGCAAAUUUUGAAUUUACUCAAACCUCAUGCUUCUACACUUUUGGCUAGUACUAAAAGAAUCCACCACUGCAAAUUUAGCUCUCCAAUUCACACCAUCAUCGAUCUUUCUUGCCUGCAUACAUACAUACAUACAUACAUAUAUGGCUGGGGGCUAAUCAUCAAGUAACUAAAUCCGAUCCCAAAUGAUCAAAGUCCAAGCAUCCCUCCCUAUAGUCCCUCAUCUACAAAGCCCCGAUAGAAAUAAGCUCAAUCUCCGUCACCAGCUCCUAGGUAGAUAUACAUACAUACAUACAUACAUAGAGAUAGAGGCGUGCUACUACUACAUAAGCUAAGCCUUGGAUGUACUCAUAUGGCAAAGGUAGCUAGCUAGUAGUGGUGCGCUAGCUGCUAGAUCGAGCCCGAGCUACUUGUCCUAGCUUAGAUCCACCUGCAACUGCAAGGCGCAUGUGUCGUUGAAGUGGAGCAUGCAUGCACAUUCAUGUGGCUCCGACACCGAGGAAAUCUAUGAACGCUGGCGGCGGCGCCGCCGCGGCAGCUUCAAAGUGAGCGCCGGCGGCGGCGCCCUGCUGUCUUGUGGUCCCUUCAAAGGCUCCCCCGUUGUUGCCCAAGACGAACUGCGCCUCGUGGUGACCGCCGGCCACGGCCACGCCGACGCCGUCGAUCCAGCUGCCACCGUGAACAACGGGCAGCAGGAGCUGCUGCUGCGGCUCCCCGUACCUGCCGCCACCGGCGGCGGCAGCGGCAGCAUCCGACGACGACGACGACGGCCAGGGAAGGCGCCUGCUGUCGGCGUGAAGCGCCGCCGCGCUGCUGGGCCCUGUAUAUAUAUAUGCCAUGGAUCAAAAGACAAGCAGAUUUUUGCACACCUCGAUCGCGUGGCGUGACACAGUGGUGUUAUAGCGACUGAUGACAAAUUGAAGUAGCUAGUGGCUGUAUGUGGCGCAUUCUUGGAAGUUAGAGACCACCAGAAAGCGACGCCGCAGCAAUGGCACAAUCAAUCAAGAAACCAAUAACGAAUAAUAAUCAGGACGGGAAAUUAAUCAAGAAGCAAGCAAACAAAAGCCCUCCCAAAGAAAAGAACACGCACGCACUGCACACAGGAGAUCUUGUAUGUGAUGAGUUGUGUGGCCAGCCACGGCCAACAGACGAAGCCAACGGCACAGCAGCAGCAGGUGACCAUAGAGUGAUGAGUGUGUGACUGUGAGAGCAACAGCCAACAAGGGGGCAGCUCUAGUCUAGCGCCCGCAUUGAUGGCAGCAAGGCAUCGCCUUGGCACGUCAUCUAAAAAAGCCUCACUGCUCGCUGCGCCGCGCGACGACUCCCUGAUGACCCCUCUCUCAUCUGCUGGCACUGUGGCGCCGUGCUGCAAGUCCAAGUCUUCGCGGCCGGCCUGUGCAGUGCAUGCCUGCCUGGUCUCCGUCUCCGUCUCCGAUGCAUGCCGACGAGAUCGAUCUCGCCCGCCCGCAGCGCUUCCUAUUUCAAGCAAAGGCAUUUACGCCCGCCAGGGGGGCCGGCGGUGGCGAUCGGACGGAUCGGAGGCCGUGCAGCGACCAGUGCACCGCCCCGAUCGGCGGUCCUCCAUUGAUUCGAUCGGCCCGUGUGUGUCUGCCUAUCAUGGAAUCAUGGUUCAUCGAUGCUGUGCCUGAAUGUACUGCGUGUGCCCGGCCAGACUCCUCCUCCUCCUCCCUCUAGGCCUAUGCUACAGUAGAAACGCUGCAGCUGAAACCGUACAGGUACAGGUACAGCUAGCGCGCCCAGGUAGAUAGAGAUAGGUCUCGUCAUCGUCACACGGCCGGACAGACAUAACAAAGGCCGGCUAGGGUCGUCAUAUACAUACAGUAAAAAAUGAAUCCGGCCAUGGCGGCCAGGAAUCCAUCGGUAUCCAUCACGACGGGGAGAGCAGUCCCGUGACACUCGCUGAUAGAUGGGCUCCGGGACCUUCUCGGGCUCAUCUGUCAGCCACUAGUGUUGCCGUUGCCGGCGGCCGGACACGGUGGGGGGGGGGGGGGGGGGGGGGGGGAGGGAACAAUCAGCCGGGAGGGAAGUUACUGUGCCAGGGGACGGGCCCCGGCUGUCAUGCAUACGCAUACACUCCGCCGUGUCUCCGUCCGUGGUGUACGAGCGCGAGCGAAUGCGGUGUCGUGUCGUGCUAGGUAAUGGCGGUCGGGAAGGGAGGGAUGAUUUGCCGGAGUGCUCACCAGGGAACAAGCAGAAGGGAGGCGGCGGCGGCGGCGGCGUGUCCUCGGCCGAAGCUGGCGGGAACGGGUAGUAUUGGCGGAAGCCGAAGGCGCCGUAGGGGUCCGCCGCGGCGAAGCCGUAGGCCGCGUCGUGGGCGGCGGCGGCGGCGGCCGCCAGGAGUUGGUGGUGGUGGUGGCCGAGGGCGGCGCCGACGACGUCUCCCGUGCUGCCCGCGGCCGGCGGCAUUGUUGCGACCGCCGCGGCGGAGGCCUCGAGCUUCCGCUGGACUGCCUGGUUGAGCUUGCGGCGGCGGUACGCCGUGGACUGCUCGCGGUACUUGCGCGCCAUGAUGACGUGCCAGUGGUUCUUGACGGCGUUGUCCGUGCGCCCCGGGAACAGGCGCGCGAUCAUCGCCCACUUGUUGCCGUAGAAGCGGUGCGCCGCCAUCAGCCGCUCUUCUUCCUCGUCGCUGAAGGGCCGCUUGCUGAUCCGCGGGUCCAGCUGGUUGAACCACCGGAGGCGGCAGCUCUUCCCUGCAUGCGCGCAGCCACACCAAGCAUUACACCAUGUACAUGUGUCAAACAGCAAGUAUAUACUCCUUCCAAUAUAUAGGUGACCAAUGUAUUCUGUAUAUUUGUAUAUAUAUAUAUAUAUAUCUCGAUCGGUGGAGCGCCGUCGAUGGCAAGAGUGAAUGAGGUCAGCAGUGAGAGCAGUACAAGAUGAUGAUGACUCGUGCGUACGUACCGGAUCUGCCGUCGAGCUUCUCGGCGAUGAGGUUCCAGUUCUGGGGACCGUAGAGCGCGACGAGCUCGCGGAGCUUGGCGUCCUCGGCGGGGCGCCAGUGGCCGCGCGCCGCGAGCCGGGACUGCCCGCUGCUGCUGCUCUCCUGGAGGUCGGCGGCAUUACUGCCGCCUCCCCCGCCGCCGUUGCCGCCACAGCCGGCGGCGGCAGCGGUGGCGGCCGUGUCCAUGGUGGUGCCAGUGGUGCCGGCGGUGAGCACGCGGCCGCCGCCCUUGGACGAGGACGAGGACGAGGCCUGGUCGGCCGCCGACGCCACCCGCAGCAGCCACGUCGGGGCCGCCGACGAGCACGGCAUCGUGCUCGUGCCCGUGCGUGUGGGUGGCCGCGGCGCGCGGGAGAUGAGCUGAGGUGAGGACGAUGGAGUUCGUGUGGGAGCAGGAGGACACGCACGCACUGCUCGCUCUUCUUCCGCUGCAGCAGAAACCCGCACGGCUGGCUGGAGGCUGGAGCUAGAGGAAGAGGCCAGAGCUACAGGGAGGGAGGGAGGCAGGCAGGCAGGCAGGCAUCUCACGCACCCUCCCGUCAGAUGGAUGGAUCGCUCGGCGGCACCGCACGCACGCACCGCAGGAGAGGAGGGAGGGCCGGGCGGAGCGCGCGUGCUUUUCACUGUUGGAUAGGCUAGCUGCUGCUCCUGCUGCUGGGGCGGGGGGAAGGGGGAGGGGAUCGUCUGUGGUGGUGGGCGGGGCUGGCUCGCGGGUCGCCGACACCCAUUUAUGCGCGCCGGUGGUGGUGGCUGCUCCGGGUCGGGGUCGGGGAUUGCAGUUGCAGGGCACGGGAGGCCGCCCGGGACGGGAGCGGGGGAUGGUAGCCGAGGCCGAUAGCUACGGGGUGCCGGGGUGGGGGGUGUGCGUGGGGCGGCCAGCCACCAGCUUAUGUUACUCAACACUCAUCUUUGUGUUGUUUGCAAGUACAUACAUACAGCAGCUAACAGGUUGCUUGCUUGCUUGCUUGCUUUGGAUUGGAUCAUCAAUCAGUUUGCAGAAGAAAAGAAAGUUACUGCUACUCUAUCAACACACACGUACUGUAUAUGGCAAAGGCUUUUUUGGAAAAGACCGAGCACGCAACUGGAAAAAAUACUCCUACUACUACAGUUCGUGUAUCAUACCAGGGUGGUGCGUGUGUGGAGUGGGAGUGCGCGGUAAAUAAAACUUGAAGGAAGGAAGGAAGGAAGGGUGAGGUAGCAAGGUGCAGAAGAUCUUACUGCACGCAAGGCUUGUCACUGUCCCAGCUGUCUACCACUGCUGCCAUCUCUCAUGGCCGGCUUUCACCGAGUUUAACAAAGCAUCGGGCGUCCCCACCGCACGUGUAGAUGUCAUCUCACCACAUUGCAAGGACGACGAGCGAGCGCGAGAGAGAGAGAACGAAGAACGAAGGUUAACCUCCCUGUAGCACCUGCCUGCCUGCCUGAUCGUCGAUCGUUCCCUACUCUCGACAGUGGAUCAGUACGUCCGAACGUACGUGUACAUGCGCCCAACAGUCGUGUACACGGACGUACGCAUUCUAUAUCCUCGCGAUGGAAAUCUCGACGGGAAUGGGCUUCAUCUCUACUAGUAUUAAUUAAUGCUGGGUGUUACGGCAUCCAAUAAUCCAAUCAUCACCGGUAACAGAAACCGUGCCCUUUGCUUGACUGAAAUCUCAAACAUGCCUGGCAAGUACAGUAGACCCUGUGCCGUCAGAAGUGGAUCAGAAAGUAUUAGCAGAGUCGCUGUUCAUUAUUCAGAGUAAAACAUUCAGAGUCUACUCCUACGCUUGACUGGUGGAUAUAAAACGACGAAGAAGUAACACGCCUCAGCUCAGAGUUCAGAAGAGGAUGGGCCUUGUUAAUAAACACACACUUGUGCUGCCACCUUUCUGGCUUUCUCUUGACCGGGAAUUAAUAUUUUCGUACUUGGCCAAAGUACUCUCAACUGAGGCCUUUUUUUUAAAGCAAGGCAGAGAUUGCAAUCUUGGUUCCAGCAGGAAUCUCGUUUCAAAGGAGCAGGACGACGCAACGCAAGUACUCGUACUAUGAACGAGAUCAGCUAGCACACAAGUGCAAAUUAAAAUAGAGGCCCCUGCAGGGUGCAUGCGAGUUUCAGGUUCCUCCCUCAUUUUUCUUUUGUAGGAGUAAAACAAACAAAAGUAGGAGUAGUAAUGUGUAGUAUAUAUAUAGCUAGGGUCUUGUUUAGUUCACCCCGAAAAUUAAAAAGUUUUCAAGAUUCCACAUCACAUCGAAUCUUGUGGCACAUGCAUGAAACAUUAAAUAUAAACGAAAAUAAAAACUAAUUACACAAUUUAGCUUUAAAUCACGAGAUAAUUUUUUUUAAUCCUAGUUAGUCUAUGAUUAGAUAAUAUUUUUCACAAACAAACCAAAGUGCUACACUACCAAAAAAAAAUUUUCAUUCGGAACUAGGCCUAGCUGUGCAUGCAGCUGGGGAGCAGGCAGCAGGUACGAGUCCCAACAAUAAACAGGCCGGCCGCUUGCAUUGCAUUGCCUGAUGAUGGAUCGAUCGCGGGCGAGCCCUGAUGGCAGGACAUGAACAUGCAUGCACGGACAGCAGCCACUACAGGCACCUUUCUUUUCAACUGCACGGGGGGCAGGCCCGCGCGCACUGUGCCGCUGCCGCUCUGCCCCCGGGCCAGCCGCGCACGCACGCACGCACGCACGCACGCACGCACGGCUUCGUCCACACGCCCAACCCCAGCAACAUUAGCCCGCGCCUUGGACAUCAUAUCAUAUCAUUGUUUAUCAAUGUUUAGCCCGGAUUCUGCCUUCAAGCGUUUGGAUCGGUCUCCAGCCAGUUCAGUUCUCAAUAUAUUGGCUACACUUUUUUUUUUUGUACACUCCCUCUCAAACCCAUGCAUGUAUAAGAACGUGCUUAGAUGCCUUCAAAAUUCCAAAAGUUUACAAGAUUUUACGUCACAUCGACACAUGAAGCAUUAAAUAUAGAUAAAAAAAACUAAUUGCACAGGUUAUCUGUAAUUUGUGAGACAAAUCUUUUAAACCUAGUUAGUCUAUGGUUGGACAAUAAUUGACAAAUACAAACGAAAAUGCUACAGUGUCCAGAUUCUAAAAUUUUUUGCAUCUAAACAGCCCCUAAGUACAUUCGAAACUUAGAGGGCAUCCGCGGUGGGUGACUUAUAAGCCAGCUCUUGCUAAGAGUGUGUCAUGUGAGGUUACCAUCAAGGCAGAAAAGCUAGCUCUUAAUCAAGACAUUACCAAAAUCUAUAAUUACCUUGAUGGGCAAGGAUUUCCUUGAGUACCAAAAUCAAAUCGCCAAGGAGAAGUACAAUUUUGUUGGCUAUGGACAUCGACCUCUAGGAGAUAUAUAUUCCUUAGAGGUUGAAGCAUACCACCAAGAAAUAUGGGUAUUUUCUUGGAGUUUUUCAAUCACCUCCAAGGAAAAGACAUAUUUCCUUAGUGUAUGUGUAAAUAGUCAAGGAAACAACUAUUUCCUUGAGUGUUUAUUCUUAACCGCUAAGAAAAAUACUUAUUUCUUUAGGUCUUAUUCUAAACUGUCAAGUCAGUUAUCAUUUCUUUGGGGUUAUUGAUUUUCCUUGGAGGUUGACACCCAAUGAAAUGCUUAUAAGUAUUUUGGUGAUUCCGACUGAAAAAAUAUUAAUAUCUUAAAGGUGUCUAGAAAUCCUAAAAUUUUGCAUGAGAUCAUAAUAUGGUUGUAUUAUCUUGCCAUAAAAUUUUCAAAUCAUUUUAACAAAGUUGGACUAUACAUUAUUCACAAAUGGGUAAAAUCUCUCACAUAUAGUCUCAAAGUUAUGUAGGCCUUGUUUAGUUCACCCUGAGAACCAAAAAGUUUUCAAGAUUCUCCGUCACAUCGAAUCUUGUGGCACAUGCAUGAAACAUUAAAUAUAGAUGAAAACAAAAACUAAUUACACAGUUUAACUGUAAAAUCACGAGACAAAUAUUUUGAUCCUAGUUACUCCAUGAUUGGAUAAUAUUUGUCACAAACAAACGAAAGUGCUACAGUACCGAAAACUUUUCACUUUUCAGAACUAAACAAGGCCCUAAUAUGUGAGAGAUGUAUUCAUUCGUAAACAAUGUAUAGUCUCACUUUGUCAAAAUGAUUUGAUUUUUUUAUGAGAAGCUUAUACGCCUAUGACCCCAUACCAAUUCUUAAAUUUUUUUGACCACUUUGUGGUAUUAUUGAUUUUUUUCAUCAGAGUCACCAAAAUAGUAGUUCAAGUAAUAUUUAGUAAAACACUUCAUUUCCCAUUGAUGUUUAGGAUGUAAGUUCAAAUAUAACAUGUCUUUUACAUAUAUGUUUUUCUAUUUUUUGGACAUUGCUAGAUAGGAUGUCUAGUUAAAGUUGUAGUGAUUUUCUAAAAGCACCUAGAAAUUCAUUUAAACGAUAGAAAAUAGUAAAUCGGUUCUUAAAUUUGUGAAACUACUACAAAGAGACAUAUAUGUAAUCUAUUUUAUUUAAAAAGUAUUUUGGGUACAUAAAUAUAAUUGGAUUAGAGAUUUACUUCACAAUAGUGUCUAAUAAUCAAACAGUGCUUAUAAAUUAAAAAACAAUGAAAUACAUAUAAUUGUCCGUGCCCCAGUAUGCAGCAUUGGUGCUAGAUUUAAAUACAUAUAAUCGAAUGUAAUUGUUUAUCGAUUUGAUUUUUAGCAAUGAUUUUGAUGAAAUUUUUUUUGUGGUAAAUUGGUGCUAGAACAUUUGCAAGAUAGUCUAUGUUGUGUCCUUUAGCAAAUCCCUCACAUGAGCUCAAUGAACUUGAAGGUUUUCCUGAAAAUGAACUUUUUGUACAUCUUCCGAGCUUCCUGAGAGUGAAAUGAAAUCUUGAUAUUUUUCAAGAGAUCUGUUGGGAAAACAUAUAUCUUAGGCUAGAGAACAAACAACUAAAAUCUCAUUGCCUUUGGACUGUGUUUGAUUGGAUUUCGAUUUUGUGUUCUUGAGGUCCUUAGUUCUUCGCUUUCUGAGGCUCCUACAAAAACCAUCAAAUCUAAGGUGAAAUUUUCUAUAUCGUAUCAAGAGGUUUGAGAGGUCAAGGUUCAUAAACAUCAAGAAAUUUUUGACUUAGAACCCUUUCCGAACUCAGCGGUUUAGAUUUAGAUGCUCCUGUCUUUGUACUUUAGUUUCACCUCUAGUUCCUUUUAUGUGUUGCUUUUUCAUGGUUUAAUGUAUUCCUAGCAUUUUUCCAAAUGUAUUCCUAGCAAGGGAUCCAACUAGCUAUUAGGUUACUACAGUAGGCUUUGCUAUCUAAUAUAGUUGCUAACACUUGGCAAAUGACCAUGAUACCCCUCCCACCACUGGGAGUAUGGGACAGAACAAAUAAAAGCUCUCAACGAAUCAAUCCGUUAACGUAUUUGAUCCAAACGACCAUUUACUAAUGUGGAUAGUCAGAUAAUAGUUACUUUGUUGCUAAAUGUAAUCAUGAAUCAUUAGCUAGCUAACUCCUAGGGUACGUAGUAGCUAAAAUCCAAACAGUACCUGAUGGAUGGAUAGGUGUAGUGUAAGUAGUACACUAGCACGCAGCCUCUGCGUGCAUCAUAUCGGUGCAUGUCCAGCACGUAACUGUACCUUCACCACCGCGCUACUGUAUAUUAAUUAUAAGCACCUGACACGGUGUGCGACGCAUUGAAGAAGCUCGCUCGCACGUACGCACGGUCGGCGUGCGUGCGUGCGUGCAGAGCAGCACGUACGCGUACGCGCGCGCCCACUGUACCUUACGGACCGUCGGGCACACGCGUGUGCCGAGCGGCACCAUCGCCAGCGGGGCAGGCAGCUGCGUCGUCACCUGUUGUGUCCGCCGCGGAUCGGAUACGCCGCAUGCAUGGUUCCAUAUGAGCACGGGCACGUCUCAAACCCUUUAAAGUAGUAUUUGGGUGGAAAAAAAUUAAGUUCUAAGCACUGUGUCGUCUCUUGUGGAUUAGACGUGGAUGGCUUUUACUGAAUUGUUAAACGAAUCAAACUCCCGUCACGUACUGUGUCCUGUAGUACGUGUCCAUUUGGAUUAUUGGACGGCCUAGCAAGUGAAGCGAGCUCUCUCGGAACUUGUUUAGGGCCGUUUGGUACGGCUCAUAGCUUCAUGAGAUGUUUUUUUAUCAAACAAUUAUUUAUAAAAUAAUUUUAUAGGUGAAAUUAUUUUUCAUUUUCUCUCAAAAAGAUAUAAGUUAGAAUAAAAUUGAAAAAAGUAGCUUAUUGCUCUCUCACAUUUCUCUCUUAUCUAUGUAAAAAGUAGUUGGUGAAGGUAUUUUACCAAGCACUUUUUUUUAAACAACUCAGCUUUAUCUAGAAAGUUGUUCAUUAAGCUAUUUUUUAAAAGGACAGCUUUACUAGUGAAGUUAAGUUAUGCCAAACAAGACCUUAGUUGGUGAAAAAAAAUUGGCUUUGGCUAUGUAGCACUUUCAUUUGUAUUUGAUAACUAUUGUCUACUCAUAGACUAGCUAGGCUCAAAAGAUUUACAAAUUGUGCAAUGAGUUAUUUUUUAUCAAUAUUUAAUGUUUAAUGCGUCAAAAAAAUUCGAUGUGACCGAGAAUUUUAAUUUUUUUUUUUGAGAUUUUAGGGUGGAAAUCCACACUAAAAUUUUAAAAUUUUUCAAGAUUUCUAAUCAUAUUAAACAUUUGAACGCAUGUAUGAAUCAUUAAAUAUAUAUAAAAAUAACUAUUUAUACAGUUUAUCUGUAAUUUAUGAAAUGAAUAUUUCGAGUCUAGUUAAUUUAUAAUACUGUAAGAUAAUAAUUAUGAAAUAUAAACGAGAAGAGGACACCUAAAACAUAAACAAAGGCCUGCUGCCACUGGACAUGCUAGCUAGUAGCUUGGCUUUCCCGGCUGAUGUAUGGACAGGGUACUACAGGCAGCUCCUGUACUAAGGCCUUGUUUAGUUCCCAAAAAAUUUUGCAAAAUUUUUUAGAUUCCCCGUCACAUCGAAUCUUUAGACGCAUGCAUGGAGUAUUAAAUAUAGACGAAAAUAAAAACUAAUUGCACAGUUUGAUCGGAAUUGACGAGACGAAUAUUUUAAGCCUAGUUAGUCCAUGAUUGGACAAUAUUUAUCAAAUACAAACGAAAAUGCUACAGUACCAAUUUUACAAAAAAUUUUGCAACUAAACAAGGCCUAAAUAAUGGGACAGGCCUAGCUAGCUAGCUACUCGUAGGGCGGAUAGCUAGGCAGGUAGCGGGAAGCCCAUUUAUAUGCCCUUGACAACGUUGGGUAGAGGGUGGAUGCAUGGUGUUGCCCGGAGGAUUAGGAAUCGCGAGGCAGCGGCUUGCACGGCGGACACUCGGCGGUGCCCCGCCCCCGUCUGAAAGUACAGAAAGCCGGCUGGCAGCAAAGUUGAUCGCGCCCCGCCCGGCCCUGAAUGAGGAAAAGCGACACGCAAUCACACGCGCGGGGAUUGUUCCGACGCGGCCAGCAGCAGCCAGCCAGCCAGGGAUGCCUCCGUGCGCGCGUGCGGCCGCCCGCUAGCCCCAGGCGAGCCGACGUGACGCUGAGCCACGCCCCGCCCCCGCCCCGCCAGCCGCCACCCAUUUGCUGUCCUCCUCGAUCGCCCUUGCCGGCCCGGCCGGGCCCCCUGAUUCUCCUUUUUCUAGGAUAUAUACACCUGUCCUAGCUACUCCCUCCGUCCCAAAAAAAAAUGACGUUUUUGACUUUGAGACAUCGUGUUUGACCGUUCCUCUUAUUCAAAAAUUUUAUGUAAAUUACAAAAUAAAUUAAUCAUGAGCAAAGUAUCUCUAAUGAUAAACUAAGUCUUAACAAAAUAUAUAUUAUUUAUGUAAAAAAUUUGAAUAAGACGAAUGGUAAAAUAAGAUGUCUGAAAUUCUAAAACGACACUCUUUUUGGAACGGAGGGAGUAUAUACUAGUACUGUUCGAGAGCGCGCGCGUCUAAGGCCUUAUUUAGAUUCUUCCUCACAUCAAAUCUUGUGACAUAUGUAUAAAGCACUAAAUAUAGAUAAAAAUAAAAACUAAUUAUACAUUUUACUUGUAAAUUACGAGAUGAAUCUUUUAAGCUUAGUUACUCCAUAAUUGGACAAUGUUUGUCAAAUAAAAACAAAAGUGCUACAGUUCCGAAAACCAAAAAGUUUUCGGAACUAAACAAGACCAGAGGCCUUGAGAGGCCUCGUUUAGUUCAUCCGGAAAUCUAAAAAGUUUUCAAGAUUUUCUAUUACAUCAAAUCUUGCGGGACAUACAUAAAGCAUUAAAUAUAGACGAAAAUAAAAACUAAUCACACAGUUUGACUGUAAAUCACGAGAUGAAUCUUUUGAGCCUAGUUAGUCCAUGAUUGGAUAAUAUUUAUCAAAUAAAAACGAAAAUACUACGGUACCGAAAUCCGAAAUCUUUUCGGAACUAAACAAGGCCUAAAUUUUUCAUACUCCCUAGCAGCAGUUACUCCCGUAUCUGCAUUAGAGCAACUCCAACAGUUUUGCAAAUUUUGUUUGGCAAAUGUUGUUAUUUGCCAACUCUCAAAACGAUAUGGGGAGGGAACAAAAAAGACAUCUCCAAGUAUUUGGCAAUUUUGACUUGGCAAAAACAAAAUUCUACUGGUCAUGAAGAUUAACGAAUAAACAUCAGGUUGUCAGCUUGCUAUAAAAGCACGCGCAUACAGAAUGCCAAGCCUAUUCUAGGUGUGCAUAAAUGCCAAGAAAGGAGAAUAAUUUACCAAUUUGCUAUAAAUGCCAAACCCAAUUGCCAAACUGUUGGAUAUGAGAUUUUGAGAGUUUUGAAAAAAAACAAGAAUGUCAAACCUAUUUGUAAAACUGUUGGAGUUGCUCUUAGCUAUUUAGCUCACGGCCAUCUUCUAUGGGACUCCGUCGAUCUCUCUCUUUUCCUCCUUCGCUUGGCUCCCUAGCAUUAAGGGCUAUUCAUUAGAGCUCUAGCUUCACUCCAAACAGUUAAUUUCAGUAAAAAACUUUUUAUUUAGCUAAAAAGUAAUAGCUAAAAGUAUUAUUUACUGAUUUAUUAUGAGAAAAAAACGCUUCUUCAAGUCUUCAGAUGGGUGGAUCGAGGCGUCCGCUGAUGCAACGGUCGCAAUCCACCAGAUCCGCCCUUCGACUGCUCCACUUUAGGGUUUGUGUUAAUGCGGAUCAGACUUUCGUCAUCCUAGUCAACGAGCUCCUCGUCGCCCGCAUCGAGGAGGGCCUCCAGAGAUUGCUAAGGCGAUGCAAGUGUGGCUUGGUGGAGUGGAUCUGCAGUGGGGAGGUGCGGGUGGACGGCACCACAACGGCGCCAGGAGUACCGACGGUAGCGGAAUGGAUAAAGACACUCGCUUACCUAGGCACUCCAUAUAACCAAUUCCCUAGUACUCCCUCCGUCUCAAGAUACAAGACCUAACUGUUUUUUUCCUCCGUCCCAUGAUAGAAGGCGCCUGGACUUAAACUUCCGCAUGCAGCAUCUAAUGCAAGACUAAAUAAUCAAUAUUAUCUCCCACGCUAAUGCAUUUGUGCAGCAUGCAUGCAUGAAUGCUGGAAGCUAAUUGGCUACGCCCUUUCUCAAUGCACGCAUGCAAUGUGGCAUUAAAUUGGAUGGACAACAAAAGUAUCUUUAAUGUGUAGGAGUUAAUUUGCUUCUUGGUCUUGGUGCUUGAGGAAUUGCGCCUUCUAUCAUGGGACGGAGGGAGUAUAUGUAAGGGACAUCUGGAACGGGAGAGACAAUCCCAGUAAACAUUUACAACUCUAGAACUCUUGUUAAUUUUUUGUUACGGUUUCACAUUUUUAGUUGUCAACCAUAUCUUAAACUAUGAAUGGUAGUAGGCAUCAUCAAUGUAUUCUUACUAUCUUAAACUACAUAUGAAUGACGAAAAUUUAAAAUACUAAUGGUUUGACACGCUAAUUUAGAUGUAGAUAUGUGUUACUUUGGGCUGUUGUAAUUGAAAUAUGGAUUUCAGAAUUAGUUUAAUCUAAUUGGCACAACCAUAUUUAUGAGAUAUAUAGUUAAGUUACCUUUUCAAAAUACAGGUGUGGAUAAUUUAGAUGCUUAUUCACUUUAGCAUAUACUUUUUUGGUACACGUCGGUAAAUUAGAGACGUGUUUAGGGAUUGACACUAUUCUUUAUAAAUUCUAAAGGGAUUGACACAAAUUAUAUCCAAUGACUAUUGUUGUCAAUUGCGUGGACUAAAAUCUACUAUUGUUGGACGCAUAUUUCUCUUUAUUUGAGAAUUUAGUUUAAACAUUUUAUCUAUUUUUUUUCUAGAAAGUCCCAUAAGAACUAGCUAGGAGAUCGAUCCAGAUUUGUGUAAUUUAUAUCCAGAUUUAUGUUAAGAUGUUUUUCUAAUGUAAAUAUGAGUAAUUUAGAUGUACAUUUAGGAGGUUACUUUAUCAUAUUUUCUAUAAUGGGAAAUGGAUAAUUCGGAGCAAGACUUCGGGUCACUCUUUAACUUAUUUUCAUGAUGACAAGGUGAGUGCAGUUGUUAGAAAGUAGAUUUAAUUUAGAGAUUAUUUUAGUGUACUUUUACAACUGUAGAGAUGAAUCUAGAAGCAAAUUAGAUCCACUGUCUAAAUGAUGAUUUUUUUUAGCAAACGGAAGGAGAUUUUUUUAGAAACCAGUGGAGAUUUUUUUUAGGAAAUGGGAGGGGAAUUGCUUAUUGAACUCAUUUUUAUAUAGAUAAGUCUAUAAAAGAGGAAAAAAAUUGUACAAGGCAGAAACUACCAAAUUAAAUCUGAGCUAUCCAAACCUGGAGAAGACAUUUCUUCCGUGACUUGCACUUAAAAAGAGAAAGAAAGAGCCGCAUUGGUUGGCUACCAAUUCGUGCCCAACCAAAACCAUGACAUACCAAAAUUAUGGUCAUCAGUUGGUUCAUUUGUCAAGGAAUUAGUACGCCUGUUUAUGGCUAAAGUUUUGAUAAAUCUCUAGAAAGUUCUUUAACUACAUAUAGGAGAAUGUCCCAAUUUAACACCCAACCAUGUGCUAUACCUAAUUUCUUGCCAAACUUUUGGCAACCAAAAUUUAGCACGCCUUAGUUUUGGCUUGCCUUAGUUUUGGCGGGGCAAAUUUUGGAUGUGAACCAAUCAAGCUGAAAAAUCUCCUUCCAAAGACUACGCUUCCACUGCCCCAAAGAAUGUGAUGCACCAUCAAAGAUGACUUUGUUCCUCGUUGACAAAAUACACUAGGCUGCCAAAAUGACAAUUUUCAUAAAGAUGGGCGAGCCAAAAGCUGCUCUGGCUGCCUGCAGUCUCUCUAAGAUAGGCAGGGAAUUAUCCCCAGUGACCCCAACAAAGCGCCAGCACCAAGCACUGAAAGUGCAUUCAAAGAACAGGUGAUCAAAGUCUCUUCAAUAUUGUCAUUGCACAACACAGGAGUAGCUCUGAAGGUAGAAGUUUUUUUCUGCGCAAGAUUCGAUCCAAAACCAAAAGCCAAAAGAAGAACUUGUGUCUGCCUGCCAACUAUUUUCUUUUUUCAAACUUAAUAGUAAUAAAUCGUCUUCUCACUAGCACAUCACUGCAUGCAACUGUCAAUUAUUGCCUACGUAUGGCGACAAAAGAAGAUACAUGUCUUUAUUUCCCAUGUAUUUCCGUGAACUGAAAACUUGCAGCAGAGCCUAGUAGACAGUAUAAUCUUUGUUCUUUCCAUCCUUGAGUUUUCGUCAGCUGUACACAUUUAUUUAUGCACUACUAGUAGGUAUACAUGUUUGACUGUUUGAGAGGUACACUUGUUCCCUGGACAGCACCUACUCUAACAGAGUUCAAGUCAAACUAGCUUAACUUCGAUAAAAUUUGAGUAAAAUACACUGCGGCCCUUUAACUUGUCAGUCUGUGCCACUUUGGUCUAUGAACUUGCAAACCUGAAAAGGUGACCCCUGAACUUGUCCGUCUGUGCCACUUUGGUCCAUGAACUUACAAACGCGAAAAAGUGCCCUCUAAACUUAUCGACCUGUGCCACCUUGGUCCAUGAUCAUGCAAAUACGAAAAUAACACCAGCUGCAUGGCACUGUUUAUGGUGUUGACAUCAGCUGGGUGUCAUGCAUGGCCUACCAGAGGCGGCUACGUGGCAGAACAGUGUCAUGCAGCUGGUGUUAUUUUCGUAUUUGCAUGUUCAUGGAUCAAGGUGGCACAGGUCGACAAGUUUAGAGGGCACUUUUUCGUGUUUGCAAGUUCAUGGACCAAAGUGGCACAGGCGGACAAGUUCAGGGGUUAUUUUUUCGGGUUUGCAAGUUCAUGGACCAAAGUGGCACAGGCUGACAAGUUAAAGGACCGCCAGUGUAUUUUACUCAUAAAAUUUAUAGUGAAUAGUACUAAUAUGUAUGGAACAAUGCACAAAUGGUAUUGCAGCCUUUCGGACAAGUAUCCGGUGGAUUAAAUCCAGUCUGACAAAUGGAAACAAUUCACUGAUGAACAAGGAGUUUUACAAGGGGAUUCACGAUCCUCUCGGUAAUCAGCGCGAGCACAGAAAUAACGAGAGGAACAGAAGCAGGUCGUCCAUUCUGAUAGUCUGCAGGAGCCCGGCCCACUUAAUUCACAGCCAUUGCAUGAUUGCAAAUGGCAUCGGCUCCUUUGACCGCUACAGCCAUAAUAAUGCAGGAAAGUAACAGCCAUUGCUCACAUAACACUAGCUCUAUCAACAUUACAGAGACUGAGGGAAACAAAACAUUAGCCUCCGAUCGAGAGGAAAUCGUAUAUCACGUACAUGGCCGGCCCAUCUCUGAAUGACCCCUGACGAGACUUUUUCGCUUUGGUUUCCAGUGAAACCGUGAAAGCGAGAUCGAGCUAGGCAUCAUUCAGAGCCCCUUUCACUUUCACUUUUUCAGAGUUUCACCGAACUGUGCGGGUGAUACCGAUGCUUGCUGCCUUAACAAAGAUGCAAAGCUUUGGGAGUAGUAAGCACUUCAGAAGAUUAGCUGCCACCAGCCAGGAUUAGCAUCCAUGCAUGCAGGGUGGGCGAGCUCACAGAUGUCUGAACGCCAGGGCUGGAAGACCAUUUCCAGGUCGGCCAGGCCGGGUCCAUCAUCCGAGCAAGCAGAUGCAGGAGCAGGAGCAGGAGCUCAGUAGUAAUUGCGGCAGAGGGAUGGGUAGGCAGCGCAAGCAGAAGCAGGCCGGCCGGCAGGCAGAAUGGAUGGAUGCGUUGCAGCAUGGUCCACAUUGGGCCAUCAUGCUCAAAAGUCCAUCUCCAAUCUGUCCACAGAUGACAACCGGCCGGAGUACCAUGCCUCCUCGGCACAUUCUGCACAAGGGAGGGAUGCGAUGCAGAAUGCAAGUGCCCCCCCAAUCAUCAUCAUCAUGGCUGCUUCCUGCAAAGCGUCCGCAUUUAUGCUACUGCCGCCAGCGUUCUCUUCUAGUAUAACGGCCUGGAAUCAAUGCGAUCCAAUCGAUCUCAAGAGCAUUUGCACAUCAGCACAUGCAUGGUUCAGUAACUGAAUGUCGUCACUGCCAAAUUGCCAUGCAGUAUAUAUAUGCUCCUACCUCUUUGCCUUAUUAUACGGCUUCAGUUCAUAGGUAACCAACCAUGUAACACUAACCCAUCAGCAAUCAUCAAUCAUGUACUGCCUCACAUAUGUAUUAUACGAUGGAGAUUGCAAGACUGUUACAAUGCACAAGAACAGAGCAAAUAUUACAUGCAUGCUUGUAGGUCUGAAAGUGAAUUGCAUAUGCAGGAGAGUGAUGGACAAGCAGUAAAAGGAAUAACAGAGAGCGCAGGUAAGGUAACUGCACUAACAACAAAAGGGUCCCGAUUCAGAUGGGCAGGGCAAGGCAGGAAUGCAGAAGUUUCAGAGUAACAGCAUGUGAGAUCCUUGCGUUUAUUAUGUCCCAGCUAUAUACCCUGCAUUAUAUUCCUGCAAUGGACGGCCGGCAUUUCUGAGCACAAAACGCAUGCAUACAUGCAUGGCUCGCUGCCGCUUGGUGCUUGGUGCUGCUAGCUCUAAAUUCGUCACCAAACACUAGUCGCCCCCACAUCAGACAUCGCCCACCGUCGCAUGUGAAUGUACUCCUAUGUCCUUCGGCACAGCUGGAGGCAGUAUCAUGAGCAAAGUGCACUGCGAGCGAUGAGAUGUUUUUAAGCCCUAGCUAGCUAGCUACUCCUGCACCGGUAUGGUCUCGGUGAGAAAGAAAACAAGCUGGUUCCAUCCAUGAACUUCCAAGUUACGUUGAAAGCAAGUUGCAUGUGUAGGCUUUAGACUAGUGUUAGUAUAGCAUAAGAAGUACUAAGGCCUUGUUCAGUUGACGAAAAUUUUUGGUUUUGGCUACCGUAGCACUUUCGUUUGUUUGUGACAAAUAUUGUCCAAUCAUGGACUAACUAGACUCAAAAGAUUCAGCUCGCGAAUUACAGGUAAACUGUGUAAUCAGUAUUUGUUUUUGUCUAUAUUUAAUACUUCAUGCAUGUGCCACAAGAUUCGAUGUGACGGAGAAUCUUGAAAUUUUUUGGGAACUAAACAAGGCCUAAGCAGUAGAGUCAGUAGAGUGAGACCUAAACAAGCAUCAUAUGUGGGUUCUAACUUGUAACCGAGAGUAAUCGGAAUGCAAUCAUGCGAAGUAGGAUUGGGGACAGAUUCAGAGCUAUAGGUGACUCAUGAGCCAGCCGGCCAGCUCGGCCCCUAGUGUUUUUAAGCAGUAAUUAAUAAAACACUACCACUAGUCAUAGCACAUGAAAUCUUCACAAUGAGGCAUUUAGUAGAGAAAUUUUGUACUAAAUUUUGAAUGGUAAAACACGUAAGAAUCUGGUUGUUGCUGCCCUCUGCCUGUCACCGGACAUGCGUUCAUGCAUGCCUCGCUUCCGCCGCUCUGAAAUCUGAAUGGGCAGAGUACGUGGGUGGAAGAGUUCAAUCAUUCAUGCUGCACCAAAUAAACCCUUCUUGUACCGUCUGUCAUGCAUGCCUGAAUGUCCCUCCCUGCAUAUUUCUCUGAAUGUCCCUCCAUCCAUCUCAUCUCAUCUCUCUCGAGCAGACCAAAUUCUUUGUCCAUCAGCGCGCGAAUUGAAGCGGUAACCGUUAAGCCCCAUAAAUGAACAGUCAGCAGAUCUGAUUCGAGCCACUACAUACGCGCUACGCAGUGGACGCAGUGACGACGCACGCGAGCUGCUCGCCAUGCCGAGCACCAUAUUCUCUGGCAUUCGCAGAUACGCGCUUGCCGACUGUGCCGCGCGCGCCACCGGCCCCGCCUGCAAGCUGAUCGCGCGCGCACGUCUGGAGGCAGGCAGGCAGGCAGGGAUCAGGCGCUAGCGUACGUGCUCGGCGAAACUCUCUCUCUCAUGGAAUUCGCAGGCCGGUGGUGGGCGUGGUGCCGUAUGCACUGCGAUGCUGCAUGCGCGCUGAGCCGGGGACCGGACCACCGCGUGCGUGUCGAUCGAUCUCGCCGUCGCCGUGGAGACCGGAGCCACACGUCUCCGUCGUCGUCGUCGAUGGGGGCCCCGGCCCGGCCGCGGGGCGAGCAAGGGACGGACACGAGAGUUGGCGACGAUCCGGGAACGGCGCGCAUACGGCCGAGAGACGGGCUUCAAUGCUCUCGCACGCGCGGCAGCUAAUUAACGAUAGAUCGAUGCAUGCAUAUAUGGAUCUCUAUCGAUUCAGUCUUGGGCGAACCAUGCAUUGCAUCCAUGCAUUCCAGUUCCAGGCAGGGGCCGGAUGAGCGAGGGAUAUGAUGAUUGACUGAUGUUGAUCUCCAACUCUCCGUCGUCGUCGGUGCAGCUGCAUGCUGCCCCGCGGCCCAGAGCCCCGGCCGGCCGGCAGGCGAUAGCUACGCAGCGCAACUAGCUGAUGACGCAUGUAUCACAUGGAAGAGACGUCGUUGUCUCCACUUUUCUGCAGCCAGCGCGCGUGUUGUUUUUUUGUACCACAUGCGUACUCUAGUCUCUAGUAUAGGUACGUAUAUAUAUCUAUGCCGAAAUUUAGCUCGUACGGGUUCAUCAUGCAUAUGCGUGUACAGGGAUAUGAUGAUCGGUGAUCGAGGAGGGAGGAGGGAGAGCAGUGGCGGAGGGCAGGAUUUAAAACUUAGGUAUUUCCACUUCCAAAUCAUAAAAAAAUCAAAUCCUUAGGCUUAAAAUAUAGCCAAUAACACUGUAACAACUAUUGAUCAAUAUUUGCUUUCUAGACUUAAGACUUCUAAUUGAAAGGCCAAUUUUUUUUACCUGUUUUGAGCUAAAUGUGCUAAAAUACUAUAAAUUAUAGCAUUGUAUAUUCAUAUAUAUAAGGAUAUAUACAUAUCUACGUAAAAGUGUACCAAAAUAGUUGAAUAUUCUCAGAAAUACUGGGCAAUACUCCUAGAUCCGCCCAUGAGGGAGAGCAAUGGCAAGAUUGGCAUGUCGUGUAUGUAGUGAUGGUCCUGCCUGCGUGCUGCUCGUACAAAUUCUACCAUCAUGCCAAGGGGGCAGCAUAUAUAUAUAUAUAUAUAUAUAUAUAUAUAUAUACACACACACACACACCCAGGAGUACAUUCUGGAAUCGUAUGGUUCGUACUACGCUAACGCGUUGCUACACGGAGUGACACACCGUACGUACCAGCAACAGGUAGCUACAAACGAUAAGUGGUGUACGACAAGCUAGCACCACAUGCCUAGUCUAUGAAUUCAGCGCCUAGGUGCGGGACAAUGAGAACGUAGGACGACGGUGCACCGUACAUAGCAUCGACGUGGUACCCCUACCUCGAUCUGUCUCUAUAGCGACAAUGAUGCAGGUGAACCAGCGAGGCCUUGUUUAGUUCACCCAAAAAUUAAAAAAUUUUCAAAAUUUCUCGUCACAUCGAAUAUUGGAGCAUAUACAUGAAGUAUUAGAUAUAAACGAAAACAAAAACUAAUUACACAAUUUACCUGUAAAUCACGAGAUGAAUCUUUUAAACCUAGUUAAUUUAUGAUUGGAUAAUAUUUGUUAAAUAAAAACAAAAAUGUUACAGUACCAAAAUCUGAAAUUUUUUCAGAACUAAACAAGGCCCAAGUAUAUGUGUCCCUGAAUGUCAUGAUGCCAUACGAGAAAGACGCCAACGGUGCGAGGAGGAUGUAGACGUACACGGUACACGUACGUCUCCACGUUGCAAACCGGCCGCCUGAUGACGCCGAUUGAGGCCGCCGUACGCACGUCACAUGUAGGCUCUACCUAUACGGGAUAGUUUGGUACGUAGCUCUAUUUUCUGAUUUUAAACACUACUUUUUCAUUUUUCUAGUAGAGAGUAAGUAGGUGAGAAUUACGUGAAGAAUAAUUUUAAUAUAUAGGGACCGAAAGAAACUAUGGCAAGCGGUGUUUUAGCACUAUAUACUCAUAGUAUAAAAGAAGUGAUAAUUGUCAUAUCAUUAUAAGAAUCCAGUUAUGUUUUAACCGUUUGCUGGUAUUAUCUUCAUAUAAAACAUGCUCGAAGAAGAUGGGAGUAGUGGGGCUAUAUAUGGAACAGGGAAAAAAAUAGUAGGGACGGUCCCUAUAGAUCAGUAACAACAAUGAGCUAGCACCUGUUAGGUCAGUCUCAAUGCAUAGUUUCAUGACACAGUUACCAAGACUAUAGACUAUGUAACCGAGCCAUAUGAGUUCCAUAGGAUUGAAACUCCUCUCUCAUCUGAUGAAACUCCUUCAUUUAAUAACCCUGCCAAGUCAGCAAUUUUGCUUAUGUGACACCCUAUUUAAUGUGCAUGACACUCUCGUGAAACAUACAUUGAGACUGGUCUUAUAAAUUCAGUCUAUGUGCAUGCAUCUAGGAGAUGGAGACUCAUUUGAGAACCUAAAUCCAAAAUAGGUCUUUAACACAAUACCAUACCGAAGACCUAUUUUGGGUAUCAGGAAAGACAUAAACUAAAUUUAGAUAUCCUCUCUUCUCGAAACACAUUUGCAGAGAGUGUUGUCUUUUAGGUUUUGUUGUUGGAGAAGACUAAAAAUAUGUUUUUGCCUGUAGUGCUAUCCAAAGGACAAAUAGGUCUUGUAACUUGGGUGACGAUUGUUAGAGAUAGUCUUAGGCCUUAUUUAGUUAUACACCCAAAAUUCAAAACGUUUGAAGAUUUUCCGUCACAUCGAAUGUUGUGGCACGUGCAUGGAGCAUUAAAUAUAGAUAAAAAAUAACUAAUUGCACAGUUUUUAUGUAAUUUGUGAGACAAUUUGAGUCUAGUUAGUUCAUGGUUAAACAAUAAUUAUCAAAUACAAAUGAAAGUGCUACACCAGGGGACUAAACAAGGCCUUAGGCUCCUCUGGACAACGCUGUAAUGCUAGAACGUCAAUCUUAGUGUUACAGAGGAGUACGUGUCAUGAAUCGAUGCAAGUGACUAUGGGCCACGGCUGCUCUAUGGAAACUGUGCCUCCAUUUUUUUUCUUUGCCUAGCAAGCCCUUAACUAGUUUGUGUCCUUGGUGGUUGGCUAAGUCGGAGGGAGAGAGAGGUACCUUUACCUCAUGCAUAUAUUGAUAUAUAUGCUCUCUCUGUCUUAAAAAAAUACAAUUAUUUUUUAAAACCUUGAUCAAAAUUAUAAAAAACAUUAACAUUUAUAAUACAAACAAGUACUAAUAGAUUAAUUACAUAAUAUAUAAACUUACUCCCUUCGUCUAAAAAAUAGUGCAAUUCUCGAGAAGUCAAACAGUUUCAAUUUUGAUUGACAUUAUUUAAGAAAGUACUAACAAUCUUGAGACAAAAUGAGUAUUAUUAGAUUACUUAUAGAAUAUAUUUUUAUAGUAAAUUUAUCUGAAGAUAUAAAUGCUAAGACUAUUUAGGCCUUGUUCAGUUGAGGAAAAAUUUUGGUUUUGGCUACCGUAGCACUUUCGUUUGUUUGUGAUAAAUAUUGUCCAAUCAUGGACUAACUAGACUCAAAAGAUUCAGCUCGCGAAUUACAGGCAAACUGUGUAAUCAGUAUUUGGUUUUGUCUACAUUUAAUACUUCAUACAUGUGCCACAAGAUUCGAUGUGACGGGGAAUCUUCGAAUUUUUUGAGAACUAAACAAGGCCUUACUAUAACUUUGUCAAAAUUGAGCUAGUUUGACCGACACGUUUCCUAUAAUAAUAUUCUUUGGCGGAAAGAGCGAGUACUUGAACACAUAAAUGUUAAUACUAUUUACUAUAGAAUUUGGUUAAAUUUUGAGUUUGUUUGACUGAAAUGAUUCCAUUUGUUUUUGUGCGUGAGGAAGUAUGUACUGUAUGCAUGUCCUGGAGAGCAGUAGGGGGCGCGGCGGGGAUAGAUUGCGCCUGCUGAGAUCUUGCACGCACACUGAGGCGGAUGGACGAGACGAGACGAGACGACCACACAGCAUGCAUGCAAUGCAAUGCCUGCGCUGCGCUCGCGCGGCUAGCUCGGCGAAACUUUCUCCCAGGCCUGGCGCCGCGCAUUGAUCAAUAACAGCCACGGCCGGCCGCCUCGCCCACCGGGCAAGGGAGAGGAACGAAGGAAGAACGCGGGAGAGAGACAGAGAGAGAGAGAGGCACCGCGGAUCUGGGGGAUUCUGGGCGCGGCAAGUGAGAUCACAGUUUUGUUCGCUUCUGCGGCUACUAGCAGGCCACUAGAGAGUGCCCCUGUGGCUGUGGGCGCGACGGCCAUCAUGGCGCUGGCAGCGCGCGCGGCGCAACGGAGUUAUGGCAGCGCGCGUGGCAAACCAAUCGCAGCGGUGCCGGCCGGCUGCCGACGAGAGCAUGCAGGUGGGGUGGUGCCGCGCGCCCGCGGCGGCAGCGGCAGCGGCGCAGCGCGGUGCCGGCGGCCGUGCCGUCUGACGAUCUCGAUCCCACCCACAUGCAUGAUGAGCGAUCGUCGCUGCUGGCGGGCGGGUGAUGCCGGUGGUCGGCCCCGGCCGAGCGUUGGCAUUGGCAUGCAUGGCCCGCCGCGCGCGCGCCUCGGAUUCAGCGCUGUCAAGAGGCAGGCAGGGGAUCGGACGACGAUGGGAUGGGAAUAUCCCUGACGCUGCAGGGGAAUUAAUCCUCAAUGACAAACGAGCUAGAGAAGAGGGACCAGGGGCCAGGCAGGCGGCACGGCAGUCGAUAUAUAGGAACAACGACGGCAGGGCCGGGCCGGUACACAGCCUUGCAGGAGCAGGCGAAUUGUGACACGAGGGCGGCCGGCGGCCAUGGCAGGGCAGGCAGAUGAUGGACAUGCAUGCAGUGCCGGCCCUAUGGGAGGGGCAGCAGGUGCGCAGAUCAUGGACCCUAGCGGCUUGGGGGCCUAACCCCAGAUAUGUAUAUUAGUAUACGUAUAGGUUAAGGGCUAAGUCAUUGGCUUUUGUUCCAGGAGGCAGCGCAGGACGAGGCCACACGAGCCGAUCAGCCGAGCGGCCGCCGCCAACAACACACGCCAACACCUGUCGCUGCGUUUAGGGGCUUUAGGCAAUUACCAAUCAGGUUCUUGUUAAUUUGAUUAAUUAAUUCAGUUUUGUAUUUUCUGUUAUAAGAUCGUGACAAAUUGUGUAGGUCCUAGGUUUUUUUCUCUCUUGUUCAAUUUUUGUCUAUGUGCACUAUCGAAAGAGAUAUCUUAGACACGAUUUAUCUCAAUACCAUCUUUGAUGAUUUUGCAUCAAGAAAUGCUCGAAAAAGUAUAUUUAUAUAAAAAGCAAUGAGUAUGAUGGAGUUCUGUUCUUUUUUAAGGUAAUCAUAUUAGUUCUAUAAGUACAAAUAUAUUAUUUUUUAAUCUACAUUGUUUCUCGAUCUUGAUAAUUAUCAAACAUGUUUAAUUUUAAAUAUAUUAUUGCAUUUAGUUUUCCUUUAUAAGUAAAAUUAGCCUAUAUAUUAUAGAGGAAAAAGUCUAAAUUACUCCCCUCAAGUUUGUCCUACGUUUACAUUUGAUUCAAUUUACUCCCUCCAACCAUUUUAAUUGGUCUAGUUUACCCCUUAACAUGAUUUGUUAUUUAUGUUUUUCCACAUAUAAGUUGAGUUUUAAUAUCAAGUUUUGUGAUAUAUUGGAGAACAUUAUAAGUAAUGUUAGAAAAAAAUAUAUCUUCACUUUUUACCAAAUUUUUGAUAGCUUAGGAAAUUUAAAAAUAAAUUAACAGUAGAGAUACAAUAUCAUAAAAAACAUAAUGAUGAAAAAAUUAUAUUGGAUUUUUCUAACACAAAAUACAAAGUCCUCUAUCACCUCACAAAAUUUGAAACUAAAAUAUAAUUUGUGCAUAGAGAAACAAAAAAGAAAAAACUUUUUAAGGUAUUAGUUGGACCAAC